AUGCCGACACGUCAUCCUCCACUAGUGGUAGCAUGGAACGAAACACAGAUGUGUCCUCCUCAACUAGUGGUGGCGAGGAACAAAACGACAACGUGUGACCCUCUGCGUGGGGCAGCCAGGGGCACCUAGGGCUAGGGAGGGGCGAUACCAUGGUGGUCGACGAGUCCGUAAUUGAGAGGUAGGGGAGGUGAUAAAGGCAAUGAAUGUGAGCGUUCUUCCGAAUGUCAUGGGAGGUGCAUUAUUUAUAGCGAGCAAUGUCACACCUACGUAAGAUAUGUUGUGUGAUUAACGUAAGAGCUAGGUGGGCAUAUUUUUGUUGGAGGGAAUUACGGGGGAACGAUGGAGAUAUUGCUUAUCACAAUGGUUUCGGGUUUCAGCAUGAGGAGAUUGGACGAGCGUGCGAGGGAGGAGAGUCAUUCAUGCAGGUUUUCACAUGAGGGGGUGGUGGGACUGCGGGAGGGAGAAGGAGAGUCAGGCUUGCAGAUUGUUUUUACACAUGUUGAUGGAAAGAUUUGGAGGCGAACGGGUUUCCUGGUAGGGUGAACGAGAAAAUUGAAUCAAGAGGCGGUUGAGGUUAAUGAGGUGCAGUAUAAUCAGUACUCAUAAAUAGUACGACUGGGAUUCAAACUGUGGCCACUAAAGUGAGGACAACCAAUGCCUACCGCUACGCUAAGCAAAGGAAUACGAUUUAGGCCGAUUCCUUAAUUUUCUUAUACGUUCAGUUUUUUUUCAAAUGAAGGCAAAAGCUUUGCCUCAUCUCAUUAAAUAAGAAGGAGGAGAACAAAGUUUUAGUUGUUACAGGGGCACGCAGGCCCAGCCAAAAGGGGUUACUCUCCCGGGCAAAUGUUUCCCAACGAUCUAGUCCCGGAAAUUACCCAAGUGUUCGCGACGUCCAUGACUGUCGCUGCCACCCUGGUUGGCGGGAGGCCUUGUUAUGCAUAUACAUUCAAUUUGAAAAUAAUGAAAUAAUUUAAACAAAAAACAAAUAUUUUGAGGACCCUCAAAAUGAGCAAAAUUUUGUCGAUUUUUUUCCAUUGGCGAAGCUUAUAGCUAACCUUGUUGUAUGAGUGACUAUUAGUGAUGACUAUAUAUGGAUGGCAACAUCCUAUAACCUAACGCACCUGGACGAAGAAAGUAGUAGUAUCAUGCAUGCGAUGAUGCAAAGUAGGCAAAAGAAAUUGCUCAUUUAUAGCGAUCACAUGAGCGAGGCGACGGUUACGGGAGGCGUGACGCUUGGCGGAAUUAAGUCAAAGUUGCAUGCACACGCCGACCGGCAUGGCGUGCAAACACACGGAUGCUAUACCAUCAGGCCUACUACUUGUUCUACUACUAGUAGAUAUGACAUCUAGUGGGUCCCCGAUAGUGCUCGAGAACUUUGUGGGGGCAUGCAACCAUUUAUCUUACGAGGCAAGCCACUGCCCCACACUGUUCGCAUGCCUUACACAACACUUUUACAAUCGGAAAACCAUUAGCAGUUUGCUCCUACUCGUCCCCAUCUUUUACAGCAGUUCGCUCCAAGUCGUCCCGUCCUUUCACAUUACAGCAGUUCCACUUCUCCUAACUCUCCCCUAAAAUCCAUGGCCUCCCAAAUCUCCAUGAUCGGUGCUGAGUACAAGGUUAAAAUCAUCACCGGUGAUGAGUUCGACGUCAUCUACACCCGUAGAUCCAUGACUGUGGAAGCAUGCCUUGGUCGCUUCCAACACAUGUUCGAAAGUUCAAAGGAUGAGUGGGUCGCUAGGCUACAUGUUGAGUACACCACAGUCCUGGAAAAGGAGAAGCUUCUAAAGGAGGAAGAGAAGAAGAAGCCUGCCAUGGUCCAGGUUUGCAUACAUAACAUGUGCUUUGUCUCCCACAUAUGCCAUGACGAUGUUAGGUGUCAGAAUUUGAAGGACUUCCUCAAGGACAAAAGAGUGAAAUUCGUUACUGUAGACUUUAGGAAUGAUAAGGAUAUCCUGGGUCGGAUAGGCCUCGUUGUAGGCCAGCCCUUCGAUCUCUAGAAGGAAAGCCUGGUGUCCUCCUCUCAACCUUCAAUGCAGACCCUGGCAGGAGCCAUGGUUGAUCCUUCGUACGGUAAACUUGAGAAACAUGGCCACGAGUUUCAUCGUGCCUGGUAGUCAAAGACAAUAGAUAAAGAUCACAUCAUGUACGUUGCAACGGAUGCCUACCUUUGUUUAAAUAUCUACAAGAGUUGGAUGAAGAAGAGCCUAGUGUCCGGUUCAAGCAAAGAAGUAUCGGCGAAGAGGAAGAGGAAGAGGGAUGAGGACGAGGUCGAGGACGUGGAUGAGGACUACGAGUAAGGUGGCAGUGUCGUUGCUCAUGCUGGUUCUAUUGAAGUGUCAAGUGGACUAGUUGCUUAGUUUUAUUUCAGGGGUGUGUUGUGCUGAGCCCCUAGCAGAACUAUGUUAUGUUCUUUCUCGUUAUUUUAACUCUUUAGUACGUACUAGUAUGUCUUACAGCUCAUCUUGUAGUUGGUACUACUUGAUACGUCCAUUUUGCAUCAUGUUUUCCUACUGUUAUUUAUGAUGUUUUUAUGCAUAAUAAUGUUUUUUUUGAGUAAUUCUAAUGCCUUUUCUCUCAUAAUAUGCAAGGUACACACGAAGGAGAAUUUCGGCAGCUAGAAAUAUGGACCUGGAAAAGCUACGUCAAGCUAGCUAUUCUGUACAACUCCAAACAAGCUGAAACUUUACGGAGAAUUUUUAUGGAAUAUAUGAAGAAUAUUGGAGCAAAUAAGUAUUAGAGGGGGCCAGCCUGGUGGGUUGUGCUCACCCAGGCUCACCUCCGGUGGCCAUCUUCUGGUAUAUAGGUCAUUUUAAUCUAGAAAAAAUAAGGGGAGGCCUUUCGGGAUGGAGCGCCACUGUCUUGAGGCGGAAUUUGGGCAGGAGCACUUUUGCCCUCCGACGAAGCGAUUCCGCCGGGGGAACUUCCCUCCCGGAGGGGGAAAUCAUCAUCAUCAUCACCAACAACUCUCCCAUCUUGGGGAGGGAAAUCUCCAUCAACAUCUUCAACAGCACCAUCUCAUCUCGAACCCUAGUUCAUCUCUUGUGUUCAAUCUUGUUACCGGAACUAUAGAUUAGUGAUUGUGGGUGACUAGUAGUGUUGAUUACAUCUUGUAGUUGAUUACUAUAUGUUUACUUGGUGGAAGAUUAUAUGUUCAGAUCCAAUAUGCUAUUUAAUACCCCUCUGAUCUUGAGCAUGUUUAUCACUUGUGAGUAGUUACUUUUGUUCUUGACGUCACAGGAGAAAUCAUGUGAACUUGAUAUGUGUUUGAUAUUUUGAUAGUAUGUAUGUUGUGACUCCCUUAGGGGUGUCACGUGAACGUUGACUACAACACUUCGCCAUAUUUGGGCCUAAGGGAAUGCAUUGUGGAGCAGUUAUUAGAUGAUGGGUUGCGAGAGUGACAGAAGUUUAAACCCUAGUUUAUGCGAUAUUCUGUAAGGGACCGAUUGGAUCCAAAAGUUUAAUGCUAUGGUUAGAAUUUAUUCUUAAUACUUUUCUUGUAGUUGAGGAUGCUUGCGAGGGGGGUUAAUCAUAAGUAGGAGGUUUGUUCAAGUAAGAACAGCACCUAAGCACCGGUCCACCCACAUAUCAAAUUAUCCAAGUAGCGAACAUGAAUCGAAUCAACAUGAUGAAAAUGACUAGAUGAAAUUCCCGUGUACCCUCAAGAAUGCUUUGCCUAUUAUAAGAGACUGUUUUGGCCUGUCCUUAUCGUCAAAAGGAUUGGUCUACCUUGUUGCACACUUUUGCUAUUAUUAUCAUUACUUGCUCGUUACAAAUUAUCUUGCUAUCAAACUACUUUGUUACUUACAAUUUCAGCACUUGCAGACAUUACCUUAUUGAAAACCACUUGUCAUUUCCUUCUGCGCCUCGUUGGGUUCGACACCCUUACUUAUCGAAAAGAGCUAAAAUUGAUCCCCUAUACUUGUGGGUCAUCAAGGCUAUUUUCUGGCGCCGUUGUCAGGGAGUGAAGCGCCUUUGGUAAGUGGAAUUUGGUAAGGAAACAUAUAUAUAGUGUGAUGAAAUUUACUAUCACUUGUUACUAUGGAAAACAAUCCUUUGAGGGGUUUGUUCGGGGUAUCUUCACCUUGACUCGAAGCCCAAUUAGCUACCCCUCAACCUACUGUACCUACUAAAAAUAUUGAAUAUGAAAUUCCUUCAGGUAUGAUAGAACAACUGCUAGCUAAUCCUUAUGCAGGAGAGGAACCGAACAUCUUGAUAUGCACUUGAUAUAUGUGGAACAAAUUUGUGGAUUGUUUAAACUUGCAGGUUUACCCAGAGAUGAAGUUAAUAAGAAGGUUUUCCUUUUAUCUUUGAAGGUAAAAGCAUUGGCAUGGUAUAGGCUAUGCAAUGAUAUUGGAUCUUGGAAUUGGUAUCGGUUGAAAUUGGAGUUCCACCAAAACAAUUAUCCCAUGCAUCUAGUUCAUCAUGAUCGGAUUUACAUAUAUAAUAUUUGGACUCGUGAAGGAGAAAGUAUCGCUCUAGCUUGGGGGAGGCUUAAGUCAAUGUUAUAUUCAUGCCCCAAUCAUGAGCUCUCAAGAGAAAUUAUUAUCCAAAAAUUUUAUGCUCGGCUUUCUCAUAAUGAUCGAUCCAUGCUUGAUACUUCUUGUGCUGGUUCUUUUAUUAAGAAGACUAUUGAAUUCCGAUGGGAUAUUUGUAAAGAAUUAAACGCAACUCUGAAGAUUGGGAACUCGACGAAGGUAAAGAGUCGGGUAUUAGGCUUAAGUAUGAUUGUGUAAAAUCUUUUAUGAAUACCGAUGCUUUUCAAAAGUUCAGCACUAAAUAUGGACUUGACUCUGAGAUAGUAGCCUCCUUUUUUGAAUCAUUUGCUACUCAUGUUGAUCUCCCUAAAGAGAAGUGGUUUAAAUAUCACCCACCUAUUAAAGAAGAAAUUAAAGAACCGGCACUAGCUAAGGAAGAAACUAUACUUUAUAAUGUUGAUCCAGUUGUUCCUACUGCUUAUAUUGAGAAACCACCUUUCCCUGUUAGGAUAAAAGAACAUGCUAAAGUUUCAACUGUGGUCAACAAAAGUUAUAUUAGAACACCUAAACCUGAUGAACAAAUUAAAGUAGAACCUAGUGUUGCUAUGGUUAAGGACCUCUUGGAAGAAAAUGUACAUGGGCAUGUUAUUUACUUCUGUGAAGAAGCUGCUAGAAUUGUCAAAUCUCAUAAACAGGAUAAACAUAGACCUGUUGUUGGCAUGCCCGUUGUCUCAGUUAAAAUACGAGAUCACUGUUAUCAUGGUUUAUGUUACUUAGGUGCUAGCGGGAGUGCUAUUCCUUAUUCCUUAUAUAAAGAAAUUAUGAAUGAAAUAGCACCUACAGAGAUAGAAGACAUAGAUGUUACUAUUAAACUUGCUAAUAGAGACACCAUAUCACCAAUUGGGAUUGUUAGAUAUGUUGAAGUCUUGUGUGGGAAAAUAAAAUACCCCACUGACGUUCUUGUUCUUGGUUCCCCACAAGAUGACUUUUGUCCCAUUAUCUUUGGUAGACCUUUCUUGAACACCGUUAAUGCUAAGAUAGAUUGUAAGAAACAAAUUGUCGGUGUUAGUUUUGGUGAUGAGUCUCAUGAGUUUAAUUUUUCCAAGUUUAGUAGAAAGCUUCAUGAAAAAGAAUUGCCUAGUAAGGAUGAAAUAAUUGGUCUUGCUUCUAUUGUUGUGCCUCCUACUGAUCCACUAGAACAAUAUUUGCUAGACCAUGAAAAUGAUCUACAUAUGCAUGAAAGAAAUGAAAUAGAUAAGAUUUUCUUUGAACAACAUCCUCUGCUUAAACACAAUUUGCCUAUUGAAACUCUAGGAGGUCCUCCUCCACCUAAAGGUGAUCCUGUGCUUGAAUUAAAACAAUUGCCAGACACUUUGAUAUAUGCUUAUCUUGAUGAAAACAAGAUACAUCAUGUUAUUAUUAGUGCUAACCUUUCAGAACAUGAAGAAGAAAGAUUAUUGAAAGUUCUAAGGAAGCACCGAGCUGCUAUUGGAUAUACUCUUGAUCAUUUAAAGGACAUUAGUCCCACUCUAUGUCAGCACAAAAUUAAUCUGGAAUCUGGUGCUAAACCCGUUGUUGAUCACCAACGUCGGUUAAAUCCGAAGAUGAAAGAAGUGGCAAGGACGAAAAUAUUAAAACUUCUAGAAGCAGGUAUAAUCUAUCCUAUAGCUGAUAGUAGAUGGGUAAGUCCUGUUCAUUGUGUCCCUAAGAAAGGAGGUAUUACUGUUAUUCCUAAUGAUAAGAAUGAACUUAUUCCACAAAGAAUUGCUACAGGCUACAGAAUGGUAAUUCAUUUUGGAAAAUUAAAUAAAGCAACUAGAAAAGAUCAUUACCGUCUGCCUUUUAUUGAUCAAAUGCUAGAAAGAUUAUCUAAGCACACACAUUUUUGCUUCCUUGAUGGAUAUUCUGGUUUUUCACAAAUACAUGUUUCUCAGCCUGAUCGAGAAAAGACCACUUUCACUUGUCCUUUUGGAACUUAUGCUUAUAGACGUAUGCCUUUUGGUUUAUGCAAUGCACCUGCUACCCUUCAAAGAUGUAUGACUGCUAUAUUCUCUCACUUUUUUGAAAAGAUUGUUGAGGUUUUCAUGGAUGACUUCUCUGUUUAUGGGAAGUCUUUUGAUGAUUGUUUAAGCAAUCUUGACCGAGCUUUGUAGAGAUGUGAGCAAACAAAUCUCGUCUUGAAUUGGGAGAAGUGCCACUUUAUGGUUAAUGAAGGUAUUGUUUUGGGCCAUAAAAUUUCUCAAAAAGGUAUUGAAAUGGACAAAGCUAAGGUUGAUGCGAGAAAAUGCCAUGUCCUAAAGACAUCAAAGGUAUUCGUAGUUUCCUAGGUCAUGCUGGUUUCUAUAGGAGAUUUAUCAAAGACUUUUCUAAAAUUUCUAGGCCUCUUACAAACCUUUUGCAAAAGGAUGUUCCUUUUGUCUUUGAUGAUGAUUGUUUAGAAGCCUUCGAAACACUCAAGAAAGCCUUAAUUUCUGCACCUAUUGUUCAACCACCUGAUUGGAACUUGCCUUUUGAAAUCAUGUGUGAUGCUAGUGAUUAUGUUGUUGGCGCUAUUCUAGGACAAAGAGUUGAUAAGAAACUGAAUGUCAUUCAUUAUGCUAGUAAAACUCUAGACACUGCUCAACGAAAUUAUGCUACUACUGAAAAAGAAUUCCUAGCAGUGGUGUUUGCUUGUGAUAAAUUUAGAUCUUACAUUGUUGAUUCAAAAGUAAUUGUUCACACCGAUCAUGCUGCUAUAAAAUAUCUUAUGGAAAAGAAAGAUGCUAAACAUAGACUUAUUCUAUGGGUUCUCUUGCUACAAGAAUUUUAUUUACAUAUCAUUGAUAGAAAAGGAGCUGAGAACCUCGUAGCUGAUAACUUGUCUAGGCUUGAAAAUGUGCUUAAUGACCCACUACCUAUUGAUGAUAGUUUUCCUAAUGAGCAGUUAGUUGCAAUAAAUGUUUCUCAUAACACUCCUUGGUAUGCUUACUAUGCUAAUCACAUUGUUGCUAAAUAUUUACCACCUAGCUUUACAUACCAACAAAAUAAAAAAAAUCUUCUAUCAUUUAAGACAUUACUUUUGGGAUGACCCACAUCUUUAUAAAGCAAGAGUAGAUGGUAUUAUUAGACGUUGUGUACCUGAGCAUGAACAGGGACAAAUCCUAAGGAAAUGUCACUCCAAAACAUAUGGAGGGCAUCAUGCUGGAGAUAGAACUGCUCACAAGGAUGCCCGUAAGUUCGUCUUAUGUUGUGAUGAAUGCCAAAGAAUAGGUAAUAUCGAUAAGCAUCAAGAAAUUCCUAUGAACUAUUCACUUGCUAUUGAAUCAUUUGAUGUUUGGGGAUUUGAUUACAUGGGUCAUUUUCCUUCCUCUAAUGGGUAUACACAUAUUUUGGUUGUUGUUGAUUAUGUUAUUAAGUGGGUAGAAGCUAUUCCAACCACUAGUGUUGAUCACAACACCUCUAUUAAAAUGCUUAAGGAAGUUAUUUUCCCAAGGUUUGGAGUCCCUAUAUAUUUAAUGACCAGAGGGGGCCACCCCGGUGAGCACAAGACACCAGGGCGCACCUGGGGCAACAGGCGCACCCUGGUGGGUUGUGCUCACCCAGGCCCACCUCCGGUGGCCAUCUUCUGGUAUAUAGGUAAUUUUGACCUAGAAAAAAAUAAGGGGAGGACUUUUGGGAUAGAGUGCCACCGUCUCAAGGUGGAACUUGGGCAGGAGCACUUUUGCCCUCUGGUGGAGCAAUUCCGUUGGGGGAACUUCCCUCCCAGAGGGGGAAAUCAUCAUCAUCAUCAUCACCAACAACUCUCCCAUCUUGGGGAGGGCAAUCUCCAUCAACAUCUUGAACAGCACCAUCUCAUCUCAAACCCUAGUUCAUUUCUUGUGUUCAAUCUUGUUAUCGAAACUAUAGAUUGGUGCUUGUGGGUGACUAGUAGUGUUGAUUACAUCUUGUAGUUGAUUACUAUAUGGUUUACUUGGUGGAAGGUUAUAUGUUAAGAUCCAUUCUAUUUAAUACCCCUCUGAUCUUGAGCAUGUUUAUCACUUGUGAGUAGUUACUUUUGUUCUUGAGGUCACGGGAGAAAUCAUGUUGCAAGUAAUCAUGUGAACUUGAUAUGUGUUCGAUAUUUUGAUAGUAUGUAUGUUGUGAUUCCCUUAGUGAUGUCAUCGGAAUGUCGACUACAUGACACUUCACCCUAUUUGGGCCUAAGGGAAUGCAUUGUGGAGUAGUUAUUAGAUGAUGGGUUGUGUCGUGGAAUUGUCACGGCAGAUGUCCUUAGUGUCAGGACUUAGUCGUGAGGCCAAAGCAUCUAUGUGGUAGCUUGAGAGGGGUUGAGCGGAAUCGAGAGACGCAACACAAGACAGAGAUUUAGACAGCUUCGGGCCCCGGGAAACAUCAUCCGGUAAUAGCCCUACAUGCUGUUUGAGGCUAGUUCUCAUUAUAAUCACGAGGGAGUCGCCGUAAACCGGCUCUCCUCUUUGUGUCUAGCCCUAAGAUUGUUUCUUGCUUGUCGCUUCUCCCUCUUUGGGGAGCCCUGCCCCUCCUUAUAUAUGUUGAAGGGGCGGGUUACAUGUGGAGUCCUACUAGGAUUAGGACUAGUCUAUCUCUAAUACAAACCGGAUACAAGUCCUGGUCUUAACUCCUUGUAAGGUAAAUAUUCCUCAUGACUUUCCUCUUAAACCGGCCCACAAUAGUUGAACCUGCCUUCAUGAACCGCCAGACGGGCCACCGGGUCUUGUCGCUCCUCUGACCCGUCCGCCGGGUCACCAGUGAGUUACAACGUCCUGGCGGGUUGCUGGUAAAUUGCCAGGUCUGGGUGGGUUACCAAAUGAAUAUCGCCAAGUGCCAGCGGGACCUCAAAUAAACCGCCAAGUCUGGCCGGGUUAACUUCCGGCCGGUUUACUCCGCGGGGUAUAUCCCCGACAUUAGCCCCCAAGUUUAGCUUGGAUUUAUCCAUGGUAAACUUAUGCUGCAAAAUAAACACCAAAACAAAUUUGGUAGGUUGUGCUUCGGGCUAAGAAUUUUUGUAGACCGGCACCUGAUCGUCCUUAAGUCCUUUGUCAUUUCCUCCUUCUAGAAAAUCCGGGUCAAUAACCAGCUUCAUACUCAAAUUGCUGAUGUUGGCUUCUUAUAGAAAAAAUAUUGUGAAGAAUAAUCCACUUGAGUCGGCUUCCAAAGCGCCGGUUUAAGAAAUAUUGGUCUUGAAAUACUCAUCUGACAUUCAACCGGUUUGAAGAUGCAAAACUUGCCGGUUUUAUCAUUGCCAAAGACUGUCGGGUUAUAAAAACUUGAUAAUUUCGAGUCAUGAUUGUUGCAGACACCGGUUCAUGAUUGUUGCCAAUGCCAGUUCAUGAUUAUUAAUGACGCCGGGUUGCAGCCACAGGGUCAUAAUGAUUGGUGACGCCGGGUCAACCUAGUUUGCUCAAUCAGAGAAUUUGAAAACAUUUCUUCAAUAAUAAUAUAAUACCUGUAGCCCCCAAGUCUUGAGCAGAACAAAGUGAUUGCUUAAGACUUGCUUCAAUAUAAAUACUGCCACUUAAGAAGAAAUCCAUGUUGUUCAUCCCAGUCACUUAGUAAAAACUGAAUACUCCAUAUUAUAUAGCCCCCAAGUGUCGGGUUGUCAUGCUUGCAGCAACCUGGGACUUGUAAUUGUCUUAUACUCAUAAAAACUUCAACCAGUGUAGCCCCCAAGGGCCGGGUCAUUAUGCAAUAAUGAGCAGGGACUUUGUAGGUAUAAUCAUGUAGAUUUGAGCAAUGAUGUGUAGCCCCCAAGGGCCGACUCGGUAAGAUAAUAUUAAGUUGGGACUUAAUAUAUACUUCAAUGAAAAUAACAUCAUAUGAUGUAACCCUCAUCAUGGGACUUGAAUCUACGUCCACAAGGUUAAGAGCCUUGUGCUUUACCAACUGAGCAGUGGACCCUUCAAUAUAAUGAAUAAAAAGCUUUGUACCUUCAACUGUUGACAGGAGCAAUUGGUAGCCCCCAAUGGCCAACUCGUUAUAAUGUGAUGAGUCGGGUCUUCAAUAAUAUGAACAAAAAAAUUACUUUGCAUUAGCCCACAAGUGUCAUGGUGCAUGCUUGCAGCGACAUGAGACUUGCAUAUUUGAUAUAAUCUCAACUUAAAUAAUGUAGCCCACAAGUGCCGGGUCGUAAGCCUGCAGCGACUCGGGACUAUUCCUUCCAUUGUAGAAUAAAUCAUAUCCUUUGAUAGAAUAAUAGCCAUUGCGCUAAAGCGACUUUGAAAACCUCAAUAAUACCGGUUAUUAAUAACCAUAAUAGAAAUCUAGCCAUGUUGGCUAUUCAAGAUAAUAUAAUCUGGUAUGAAAAACCUUAUUCAUUCAAUAUCAUAAUAAAAAUUCAGCCAAGUUUGGCUAUUUGAAUAAUAUAACCCAAUGAUUUAUAAGCGCAUGAUUCCAAUGGCGCAAUCCAAAUAUGUACUGGCGACUUAUAGUCCAAAGCCAGGCCGGGUUAACAAACACCGGAUAAUUUCUCAUCAUAUACUGGCGACUUAUCGUCUUAAAGCCAGGCCGGUUUAAUAAACACCGGAUAAUUUAUCAUCAUGCUUUAUUCAACCUGUCUCUGCAUACAACAAGUUUAAAGUGUCCUGGCGGUUUACCGCCGGACGGGUCAUAAUGCCCAACAUAUAACCCAGGUUUAUAACCAAGGCUACACUUAAGAAUAAUCAAUGAAAUAUAUCAUACCUGUGACAUUGAAUCACAUCAUUGGUUUACCAAAUUUUUGUAGUAAUGGUGCUAACUCCUUUCAUACUGUGUCGGUUUAUGAUAAACCGUACCGGGUUGUGAUAAACACCGGUUUAACCAUAUAUAAUAUUGGUGACUCGUAGUCAAACCAGACCGGGCGGAUAGUCUCUGGAUUAUGAUUUGAUCAUGUACUGACAAUUUGUAAUUGACAGUUUGAAACGGAUUAACAAUGUCGGUUUAAAAAUGCAACAAAAAUCAAAUAACAGUUAUGAAAAAAUAUGGAAGCAAAGGCAAUGAUAAGACCGUUUGCAAAAAGAGGCUUUACUGAGCCGAUCAGAUGGUGUUACCAUGGUCGGACACGACCAAGCUCCCAAUAAGGUGUAGCUAUGGUUCAAGUCAGCCAGGUCCCCAACUGAAACCGUGGCAUUAUGUCGAUCAAGUGGCGUGGCAAUGGUUCGGGUUCGACCAAGCCCCCAAGUGACUCUAUGGCCUUAGGCCGAUCAAGAGGCGUGACUGGUUCAGACUUGACCAUGUCCCCAAGUGAUCUGGUGGCUUUCGCCUAUCAAAAGGUGUUGCAUUGCUUCGGACACGACCAAGCCCCCAAGUGAUGUUGUGGCACUAGGCCGAUCAAGAGGCGUGGCUAUGGUUUGUAUACGAUCAAACCCCCAAGUGAUCAAUAAUAUGAUAAGCCAAUAAGGCAUGAUACCCAUGUUUGGACCGCACAUCAUGGCAGCAGGUCCUCUUUGGCACCCUUUAACUUUUUGCAAGAGAUAAAUCCUUCUUGAACCGGGAUUUUGAACCGGAUUUUAGAGCUUCAAAGCUUUGUGGGAGAUACCUUCCCCUUGAGCCGGAUUUUAAACCGGAACCCUCUUUUUAAGCCAGAAAUUUUCUGAUGGCCUUUAAAUUUGCACCAAUAUGGCAGUUUAGGGUCCUGCAUUAGACAACUUUGCAGACCAAAGUAAUUGCUCUUUUUAAAGAAGGCAAUAUAAAAUAUAAAAUAUAUUGGAUGGAUUUCACCUGAUAUAUCAUGCCAGGGGUUAUUCACCGUGGAGUUGAUGAUCACCAUGGUAAAGCUGAAAUUAAUGACGGCCGAGUCGGCACGGUGUUGUGAACCGGUGCGGACGAGCGGAUCAAUCGUAGGCGCGGUAAGCCGUGCAGACGGGCGAGUCAACCGCAAGCGCGGUCCCGGCAAUUUGAUGUAAAUCGAGCUGUACGGGCGGUGGUUUGUGCACACCUGUUCAACAGCAAGCUGGCGCAGACGCUGGUGCAUGAUGAUGCUAACACACACUCCAUAUGCACAGCAUGACACCACCUUUAUAAUAACUAAUUGUCCUGCACACAAAAUUAUACAGACCAAAGUAAUUGCUCUUUGACAAAAACAAUGUAUGCUAAUAAACUUAGAUGGAUAUCACCUGGUGUUUGCAGAUAGCAAACGGCUUUGGAUGACGAAUGGUCCGUUCAACGCAACAGAGGCGGCGGCUUAACCCACUACACCGGUCGGCUUAGACGGACCCUCCGGGUCAUGUCUGGCGGUUCAAGGCGCGGGCAACUAGUAAGGCCGCGGCAGCGGCAGUGGCUCGACACAGCGGCCCAAGGCGGCCACUUUGAAACGAAGGCAAGGCCAAACCGGGGUUAGCAGCUUCUGCACUAUGUUUUCAUGAUGACAGUUGUAGUUUCCAUCUUCAGUAGAUUUGACUGAUUCUCUAAGCUCGAACCUGAAGCAUGGCUGCAAUUUGCACUUGUCUUUUGUCUGAUCUCAGAGAGCCAUACUAAUUUAACUCCCGCAGGAUUUGUACGAUACAAAGAGUAGGAGCCCAACGUAUUUAAUCCUCGGUGUUGGAGUAUAGUAGCGAGGGCGCUCUGGCGGGUCAACGGCGCAGGCGAACCAGGCGGGUCCAUGGCAAAGGAGAACUGCUGGCUUGGAGGUGGCAGCUCGGGAGCGCCGGUUUAAAGCAACGAGGCCAGUUUCUGGAGACGACGGCGGUUUAAGACGGCGGCAGGCCGAGGUCACGGCUGCGGCGGCUCGACGCGCGACGAAGGCGUCCGCAGGCUCGGACGACGAAAGUGGGUCAGGCGGCCGGCCGGUUUGACGCGAGUCCAGGCUCGAGGCCACGGCGGCUCAGGUACGAGGCGGCAGCGGAGGUGACUUGAGCGAAGGUCGGACCGAAGUUUCGGCCUCGGGUGGAGGUGACCUGGCAGGAAGCAGCGAGGCGGUUUACGACAGCGGCGAGACGCUCGGUCGCGAGGCUGUAGCGGUGGCAGACGGCAACUUGCUGCGGGGCCGCUUCAGGAACGAUACGAAACCGGUGGGCCGGCGGAUUGACCUUAACCCGAGGACGGCUCGUAGCUGCUGCAGAUUUGACCGGCCAGGCGUGCUGGCAGCCCAGAGCAGCAGAAGAGGCCGUCCAUUGGAACUGCAGACACAGGCGAGCGGCGGGGUGAGGCCAGAAAGGCGAGUUGAGUCCAUGACUUCGUCCACCUCCCUUCAUUGACUCCUCCUGUCCCCCGGAUCUGGCGACAGUCUCUAGAUUAGUAACCAUCAAUUAGUACUCAUGUAAACCCAUUGUAUUCUACCCAUGUGAUUCGGAUUAGUACUCAUGCAUUCACUUUGGCCAAGUAGUACUUUGGUCUCCCACGUGUUUCUCAAGGGGAGCACCAGUACUGUAUUAUGAGGACUACUAGUCCCACAAUCGUCUCAUGAUGACUGCUUGUCUGUACCGUUCCACAGGAUAACCAAAAGAAUGAGCCGGGUCCGCCCGCGCCGGGGCGUUUUGAGGCGAGGAUGUUGGUCGAGGACAAAGCGGACGGUGGGUCGAAACAUACUCCAGCCUCCCGGUGUCAAUCCGGCGAGGGGACUCGGACAGAAACGAGGUGCGGCAGUGAUUUCAGACGAGAGGCAGAGUUUGACCGGGGGCCGCUUGCCGGUGCAGUCGAGGCUGCAGAAACAGCAAAGCACAGCGCUCCACAGCGGGUUGUCGGGCCGGCCGGGCCACUCGCGGAGCGAGCCAGAUGAGGUCCUGCGGCCGCGAGUCCAAGUUACGGCUAUAUUUUUUGUUUCCGGGUCGUAGACCCCCCCCCCUUUCCUUUUUCUUCAUCAGUUUUGACUAUAUGUUGGCGUACCGAUCUGGACUCUGCAUCUCGCGUCUCCUCAUGCCGCCUCAGAACCUAGCACACCGGUGAAAUAUACUAUAACAGGUACAACACGGUCUCAGCGACGUACAAUUUCGCCGCUCACCAAUCACAUAACGCGCUGCAAAAUCUCAGCGACAUGAUCCUUGCAUUGAUCGAUCUUGAACACAUCUUCAACUUGCAGUGGCGAUAGCGCACCCGGAUGCAAUAUUAAUUUCCUUGAACUCAAACUUUCAUCUGUCUAACCACGAGCUCCUCGAUCCUUGAAAAGAUCCCUCCAAGAACUCAACACCAUCGUGCGCAGGCCCCAUGGUGGGCGCCAACUGUCGUGGAAUUGUCACGGCAGAUGUCCUUAGUGUCAGGACUUAGUCGCGAGGCCAACGCAUCUAUGUGGUAGCUUGAGAGGGGUUGAGCGGAAUCGAGAGACGCAACACAAGACAGAGAUUUAGACAGCUUCGGGCCCCGGGAAACAUCAUCCGGUAAUAGCCCUACAUGCUGUUUGAGGCUAGGUCUCAUUAUAAUCAUGAGGGAGUCGCCGUAAACCGGCUCUCCUCUUUGUGUCUAGCCCUAAGAUUGUUUCUUGCUUGUCGCUUCUCCCUCUUUGGGGAGCCCUGCCCCUCCUUAUAUAUGUUGAAGGGGCGGGUUACAUGUGGAGUCCUAUUAGGAUUAGGACUAGUCUAUCUCUAAUACAAACCGGAUACAAGUCCUGGUCUUAACUCCUUGUAAGGUAAAUAUUCCUCAUGCCUUUCCUCUUAAACCGGCCCACAAUAGUUGAACCGGCCUUCAUGAACCGCCAGACGGGCCACCGGGUCUUGUCGCUCCUCUGACCCGUCCGCCGGGUCACCAGUGAGUUACAACGUCCUGGCGGGUUGCUGGUAAAUUGCCAGGUCUGGGCGGGUUACCAGAUGAAUAUCGCCAAGUGCCAGCGGGACCUCAAAUAAACCGCCAAGUCCGGCCGGGUUAACUUCCGGCCGGUUUACUCCGCGGGGUAUAUCCCCGACAGGUUGCGAGAGUGACAGAAACUUAAACCCUAGUUUAUGCGCUAUUCCGUAAGGGACCGAUUGGAUCCAAAAGUUUAAUGCUAUGGUUAGAAUUUAUUCUUAAUACUUUUCUCGUAGUUGCAGAUGCUUGAGAGGGGGUUAAUCAUAAGUAGGAGGUUUGUUCAAGUAAGAACAGCUCCUAAGCACCCGUCCACCCACAUAUCCAAUUAUCAAAGUAGCGAACACGAAUCGAAUCGACAUGAUGAAAGUGACUAGAUGAAAUUCCCGUGUACCCUGAAGAACGCAUUGCCUAUUAUAAGAGACCGUUUUGGCUUGUCCUUUGCCUCAAAAGCAUUGGGCUACCUUGCUGCACUUUUGCUAUUAUUAUCGUUAGUUGCUCGUUACAAAUUAUCUUGCUAUCAAACUACUCUAUUACUUACAAUUUAGCACUUGCAGACAUUACCUUGUUGAAAACCACUAGUCAUUUCCUUUUGCUCCUCGUUGGGUUCGACACUCCUACUUAUCAAAAAGAGCUACAAUUGAUCCCCUAUACUUGUGGGUCAUCACUACUACUCGUUUCUUUGCAUUCCUACUAUACUUAAUACGUACUAGUAGUAUUAUUUGUGUCAGACGAUUUGUGAAAGAAGAAGUUUGCCGAAGCGAAGGAAGAAGACGGCAGAGAAUCUACCCCCAGUAUCUAUAUUAGGGUGGCAGGGUGCCCAUGAUCUAUCUUAUGAGUGUUGGGUGUGGGAUGCAGUUCGCCGAAAAAAAUGGAUCGUGCCUGGGUUAAACAUAUGGCGGGGUGGGGGAGCAUGGCGGUGGGAGGCGGUUAAGGGGAGGGUGGGGCGGCGGUGGCAAGCGAUUAGGCUUGGGUCGGGCUGGUGGCUCGAUGGUUGAGAGAGAAGAUGAAUAGUGCAUCAUUUUGAAGGUUGAAGAAGCCCUUUCUAGCCGUCCAUGUUGCAUCCAACGGCUCACAAGAGUCGACUAACCCAAAUUGUUCCUUCAGAUUACUGGAUCCACAUGGCAUUCAAGGUCUCAAAGGUAAUCCAUGUCCGCACCCGGUUUACGGGCUCAGCACGGGUGCGACUGGCUUCCGCCGCGAUAGCCACCAUGUGGGCCUUCUCCGCGCGGGCGAAGACGAUGAUGGCCUGCUAGCUCCUCCUCACCGGCAUGCUGGAGCACGCGCGGACACAGUAGCAUCGCGAGGAGGGACUGCAGACGAUGUGAGCGGGCGAGCAUGCAACUUUGUGGCACAGGGAUGGAUGGGACACGGCGGUGAUGGGCGAGAAAUGGUCGGUUAGAGUAGGCAGGCGUCAGCAUACGGUGUUGUAGUGUAGAUGACAUGUGGGGCCAGGUCCCACAUGGCAGUGACUGUACUGCAUCGUAUAGUACUGCAGAGGAUCGCAUGCGCAACGCUGGCGUAUGGGAGCUUAGUUUAGUUUUAUAUUGGUUUGGUCAAACUUAAAAUAACACCAUACUAGUACACAUAAUCCUGUGCAAGCGAAUGCAUCACGGCCGCGCUUGUACCACAUUAGUUAGCACAACAUCGAUACGAAAUCCUGUGCAAGUGCGUGCACUACAGCUGUGCGGUCGAUCAAACGGUGCAUCAUCAUUUCACACUGGAAGGACAUCCACCAAACCUUUUUGUGUGUGUGAAAACAAUCCCCGAAUAUUACUCUACUUUUUUUUGCUGGAAAAGUUCUUCACGCUACAAUAUUUGCAUAUAUUUUAAUUUAGCUUUAGUUCAUGAUUAUUUGGAUUCAAACAUUUUAGGUGCCCCCUAGAAAUAUAUUUUUUAAUAGAGAUUGUGUGUGUAAUGGAGAGAGAACACGUGUAUGUGUCUAUAUGUGUGUUGUGGCGGAAGGACAAUGUGGAGACAGUGUGCGUUUGAUAGAGUCAUAGAGAGGUGUGAAUGUGCAAAUGAUCAUGUAUGAGUGAGACAUAAAGAUAUACCGCGAUGUUCUGUAUACAUGAGAGAACGGUCUUCUAUUUGUGUUUUUGUGUGUGCGUGUGUGAGAGAGAGAGGAACAUCCUUAACACAACAACCAUCUCUCUCGAUUCGACUAUCCCUUGCACAAUCGCAUGUAACACAUGCAUCAACGCACACAUUUUGACACCCUCACCCAGCCCCUGCCCGCCUCAAGGACCCUACAUUGCUCUCUAUCUCGCACACAUAAUCUCUUCAUGAAAACCCUAUUUGGCGUGUACCUCUCCGUCACAUACACACGAAGUACCACGCACGCACAUUUAUCUCUCGCCAUGUCUCUUUGCCUCACAAACACACUGCCCAUAGUCCUCUCUUUGUAUCCUGCACACGAUCUCUCUAUAUUGCUUAAUGGAAGUGCAACUAACCCCUGGGUGGUUUUGGUAAUUCUUAACAACAUAUAGUUCAUUGGACUAAUGCUCUUUCAAGAUGAUCAUUUCAGAAAGUUCAAUGAUUGGCAUGGCAUGGACUAGAGAUGUGGACCCCUCAAAAUGCUAAGGACAUAUAUUGGCAACAAUCUCAAGACUCUACAUUUUCAUUUUAGUGUUCCAAGAUCACAUUGAGUCCAUAGGAAAGCCAAUACUAUUAAAAGGGGAUGAGGUGUUGCUUAAUGGCUUACUUGCUCAAAAUGCUUAGUGAUAUGCUCCAAAACCCUCAACCACUCUCUCACAUCCACAUAUGUCCUAAACCUAAAAAUCAAAUUCGGCCCCACCGAUUUGAUCUAUCCGGCGCCACCGAGUUUCAUUUGACAUAGCCACUGCCACAAACCCUAGUUAUGUCGAUCUCACCGAUAGGGAUCUGGUCUCACCGAGAUGGGAUUGCAAACUCCCUGUUUCCUUUUUAUAACAUUUCGAUCACACCGAAAUGAGAAAAUCGGUCCCACCACUACAAAAAAAGACACAUAUGUGACAUUUUGGGCCGAACGAAUUUUUUUCUGUCAUACAUAUGACACUUCUAUGACGAUAAUUGUGACGAAACCCGGUAUCAUCAUAGAUGUGGUGGGCUCCUACUUCUAUGACAAAAAAAUCAUGACAGAAAAUGGGCUUUUCGUCCUGGGCGGGCCGGAGACGCAGCUGCAUGACAUUCUUUGGGCCGUCCAUGACGGAAAAAACCGUGGUAGAAGCGAGGGGGAGGAAAAUUUCGAGGAGUUGCCGGUUACGGUGGGAGGUCGGGGGCGGAGCGAUGCGCGUUUCUCUCGUACGUACACGCGUGUGUGUGAGGCGUUGGCUCUAACUGAAGCCGAGCGAGGCGUUCGGCUCUAACUGAACCCGAGCGAUUGCACUGCAGGCUACGCGUUACUGAAGCCGAGGGGUCGAUCGAUGGCUGUUAACUGAACCCGAUGGAGCGAUUCCUUUGCUACUACUGCUAACUAAAGCCGAUCGAUUGGAUGAACAGUGAGCGUUGUGGGGGGGUUUGGAUGAACAAUGAGUGGUGGCGUUGCCUCUGGAUGAACAGGACCCCAUGGUGUGGAGGGCUGGAUGAACAGUAGACGGUGGAGGGGUGCCCAUGGAGGGGUGGUUGAACAUUAGCCGGUGGAGUAGCGCACGGUGGAGGCUAGAUGAACAGGAGCCCGUGGAGGCUGGAGGAGGUCGACGGUGGAGAUGAACAGUAUCCCGUGGAGUCCCGUUUUGCGGUAUGCCACACCCCUCCCCCCAUUUCAACCGUAGCGCUCCAACACAAGUCCGUCUCGUCCGUUUUGCGGUACGCCACACCCCUCCGGAUCAAAAGGACCCCCGUUUCGGCCGUAGCGCUCCAACACAAGUCCGUUUCAUCCGUUUUGCGGUACGCCAAACCCCUCCCAAUCAACAGGACCCCCGUUUCGACCAUAGGAGGUCCCGUUUCCUCCGUUUUGCGGUACGCCAGGCCCCUCCCGAUCAACAGGACCCCGUUUCGAACGUGUCCGGUCGAACACAAGGCCGUUUCCUCUGUUGUGCGGUACGCCAGGCCUCGUUUCCAUCGCCUGUUCCGUCCAAGCCCUCCCGAUGAACACGACCACGCAUUUCGUUCCGACCCAGCCGGUUGGCUCCCCAUGAACACGACGACGACGUUGUUUCUCCGUUCCGACCCAGCCAUGUAUGUAUGCGCGAUAGGCGUUAGAGACCCUUCUCGUAUGUACGUACGUGGCCAUAUUUUCUUUCUUGCACCCUCGCCGCUGUAUGUACGUGUACAUGCUACGUGCGCGCCUCUACUACGACACGUGCGCGCCUCUACAUCCACCAGUAUAUAUGUGCGUACAUGUUCGCGACCAGAAUGACAACGCUACGUAUGCUUCGACCAGGUGGGUCCCGACUGUCAGGCACUUUCUUGCGUGCGACGAUGUAGCUGGUGGGUCCCAGCAGUCAGGGGGGCGAAUCAUUUUUUUUCGGACGCACUUCCUUGCGUGCGAAGAUGUAAUUGAUGGGUCCUAGCAGACAGGGGAAACGUUUUUUUCGCUAAAUACAGUGGCCCGUCCGGUGGGUCCCCGCUGUCAGGUGGAGGAAUAAUUAUUUUAUGCAUAAUAAGGAGGCACUUCCUUGCUGCGGUCGUGGACCCAGCUGUCAGCCUCUCCACGUACAGUCCACGUCCGAUGGAAGCCAUUCCUUGACCAUGUUGACCACGCCGCGCCGAGAGCACCAGGGUGGUGGACGACGGCGAGGCCUAGGAAGGGGACUACACGGAGCCGGGGAAGACGCGGCAGUGGAUGCCCAUGCGUAGAGGAGUAUGAGGGUUCACUCGUUCGGCUGCGGUGUGAGGUUGCCAUCGCCGCAGAAUAACAGGGGGUGUGGGUGCAUAGAGGGAUGGCCUGGCCAGCGGUGGGAGUAGUAGGGGGCGGUGAGGCCUCCGCGGCAUCACAGCCGGCCAUGGGCGGCAGGAGCAGGCGGCACGACCGGCGCUGCUUUGGGCGGCUGGAGCAAGGAGACCAGAGGUUGAAGAAGCACUACAGCCGUUGGAUGGACAUCGUAUGAUCACUGGAGCUAGAAUCGUUCAUAUAUUGACUAAAGUUGACAAAGGCCUCCGUCCCAGUCAACUUAAUAGGCCCACAAGUCAGCCUCCCACCAAGGUUGGUCCCAGCUAGCAGGGGGGUAUUCAUUUUUUUUGUGUAAUAAGGAGGCACUUCCGGUGGGUCCGAGCUGACAGCGCGGGGAACGUUUUUUUCGCGAAAUACGGUGGCUCGUCCGGUGGGUCCCAGCAGUCAGGGGAAACAUUUUUUUCACGAAAUAAGGUGGCCCAUCCGGUGGGUCCCUGUUGUCAGGUGGAGGAAUAAUUAUUUUGCGUGUAAUAAGGAGGCACUUCCUUGCGGCCGCCUGGACCCAGCUGUCAGCCUCUCCACGUACAAUACUCUUCCGAUGGAAGUCGGUCAUUGACCAUGUUGACCACGCCGCGUCGAGAGCACUAGGGCGGUGGUCUGGACGACGGCGAGGCCUAGGAAGGGGACGACGUGGAGCCGGGGAAGACGCAGCAGUGGUAGCCCGCGCGGAGAGGAGUACGAGCGUUCACUAGUUCGGCUGCUGUCGCCGUAGAAUAACAGGGGGUGUGGGUGAGUAGAGGGAUGGCCUGGCUAGCGGUGGGAGUAGUACGGGGCGGUGAGGACUCCGCGGCAUCACAGCCGGCCACAGGAGGCAGGACCACGCAACACGACCGGCGCUGCUUUGGGCGGCUGGAGCAAGAAGACCAAAGGUUAAAGAAGCACUACGGCCGUUGGAUGGACAUCGUACGAUCACUGCAGCUAGAAUCGUUUAUAUUGACUAAGUUGACCAAGCCCUUGGUACGUGUCAACUUAGUAGGCCCACAGCUCGGAUUUGGCAGAGAACAUAUAGCCUAUUUGCGAUUUGUAAGAAUGUACAGCCCAUUUUUCAAUUCUAAUGGAAUUUACUACAGCCCAUUUACGGGUUUGUUAAAAGUACAGCCCAACUUCUAGGUAGGACAACGAUUAAUAAUUUCAAACAACCGCUCAAAACAGAAUUCAAAAAAAAAUUCCCACAUUUUGAUGGGAUCCAUAAUAUUUUUAUCCGAAAUUUCUAGUCAGGUUAAAUAUAAUUUCAAAAUAAAGUUGUAUCACGUUAAAAUCCAAUGAAAUAUUACGCGCGCAACAAGUAAUGAAAUUAAAAUUUCUAAAUUCCAAAAAUAAUAUAUUUUUCAAACUAAUUACGUGUUUGGUGCAUAGUAAUUGCCUAGUUAUUAUAAUUACAUCCCAUUUAUUAUUUCUUAAAGUCCAUUUUCUUGUUAAGCCUAAUGCAUACCUCCUAGGAAACUUUGCAGCCCAGCGGGGCGGAUAACAAGUUGACCCGGAUAUUGUGUACAACUGUCGGCCCAGUUGCAUUGUUGAUGUUGAAAAAAAGGCCUGUGUAGUAUAGUACAACCUAACAUGGUUACUCAGCCCACAUUCAGGGAUGCCGGAAAGGCCCAAACAAGGCUUCUAUACAAGUUUUUGAAGUCACUGAGCUCAAUUAAUAACUUAAGAAAAAAGUUAGAUUACAGUGGAACCUAAUUAAAAGCUGUCACGAGCAAAUAAAUAAUUCAACGGGUCCCACUUGUGCGUGUGCACGCGCGCGUGUGUGUGUGUGUGAGAGAGAGAGAGAGACCCGUCGGUCGAUGCUUGUAAAUACAUCUUUCAGCCAUAUGCAUUGUUGAUGCUCAGUAAAAACUUAUAUAGUUGACACAAUCAUAUAGAACAUCAUAGCACACUGAACUUGCAUACAAAAAUUUCACGCAGGCGGCACAAUCAGGAUGGAAGCAGUGGAUCGCUACGGGAAGGGCUAUGUUGAAACCAACGAAGUCGUACAUAACGGUUCAUCGUCUUUAUAAAUGACGGGGAAAUAUCUUGAAUGUUGUGCAAAGAAAAUAGACAAACAACACAAUAAGUUCUGCUAGCACAUUAAGUUGACGUACAGCCCUUUCUAAAAAAAAGUUCAGGUACAAAAUUAGAACAGGUCACAAUCAAAUGUACUGGCAUAUCAGUGCUUCAGACCCAUAGCUCGGAUUUAACUAGUACUAUCUGACAAGAUUCAGUUGUUACCUCAAAUUAGAGCACAUCCAGGCAGCCAGCCCUGCCUCUACUCCCAAAGAAGCAGUGGCCUCCGCCACGCGAUGGAGUAGGCCCUGUGCCAUCCAUCAUUCUGAGCAACACAGGGAAAGUCUAACAUUAACUCCUGUAAUGCACGUCGUCGACGGACCCUGGCACCAGCAGGCGCGGUAGGACUUUGAUUGAUGGAUUGACCACUUCUUCGACAUGCACGAACACUCGAUACAGGUACAUCCCUAACAUGGUCCGCGGCGGCCUUGGUGGCGACGAAUAGUAUAACCCCGGUUCCUGGACCGGUAUCUCAACACCAAUCACCUUCGGUAUGGUGGACGACUUCUUCAUCCAUGCCAUAACCGUCAGAGCCCAGCUGUCUGGAGGAAAAAACAUACUUAUGAGCUCACCUCCAAGGUCGUUGAUAAGCUCGUUCAUGGACUCGCUGUUCCAAGCACGUCGAGGCAUGUCGUGGAAGGUAAGAUUUGUUAAAAACUCAAGCUCACAGGGCACCGAGCCCCAUCCUGGGUGCCACCAAUCAAAGCUUACCAGCGCGCCAUCGCAGAACAAACACCAGGAAGAUUCGAACACACGACUGCAGUCGAAAGUUGUUCGGAACCUGACGAAGAAAUCAGCCGGUGGCGGACAGACUUCGACGAGCAAGUCACUUAUUUGGAUGUCGUGCGCAAUGCCAAGAGCUUUGACAAGGUCGUCUAGCGAGAUGGGAGGCCGGUCGUCGUUGAUGGUUACCAUUAGCACUUUGCCGGCAAACUGGUCGUCAAGCGCCGUCAUGCCACAGUUGAGCGACAGCACGCAGCGACCGAAGGCAAGACGGACCUCAGGAUCUCCGGCUCGGAGAUCCGUGUUGACCGGCGACAUGAUAGUGCGCUUGAGUACAGGGAGUACAUGAGGGGGAUUUGGGGGAACUGGAGUAGGAAUCGAGAUUCCAGAGGUGGGGGAGGGGUGGGAGACUUGGGAUGAAAAGGUAGCAUGAAUUUCGAGCACGUGCCAAUAUGCUCUCGGCGCGCAAGCGCAUGAAAACACCGGUGGCGCCCACAUGUCGGCCUAAGAGUCCUUAUUAUUUCUUUUUUGGAGAGCCCGGCCUUUUUUUCAGGAUCUUUUGAGAGCCCAGCCCGAGAGUCAUAAUUGACCUGUUUGGCAUUGCGUUACUACUCGGCCCAUAUUCAACGACACCUCACUGGCCCAAACAAGUGUACAUCAUCGAAAAGACAGUGAGCUCAAAUUAUAUAACUUGAAAAAAGGAGAUAUACUCUGAACACUGGAGAAUGGUGAUGCCCUCAUUUAGCCCACCAGUAGUUCGAAACAAUAAACAGUUCAAAACAACGAUAUAUACAACAUUCAAACACUGGCUAGUGACUACUACUGACAUAAACAGCAAGACAUGAUAGUUCAUAAGAAGUCUUUCUACACCACCAAAACGUACCCAUCUGCAGCGCUCAGACUCUCCUAAUCCAGAUGAGAAUGACAUUCUAAACAGAAGCAACUAUUACAUAGAAAGAGUGACAUAGACGAGGAUGACCAAAUGACAAGGAAUAUGCAUAACAAAAGAAAGAACUACCCAUCCAGAACUAGUAGCAAAGACAACAAAGUCAUUCGAAGAGAUGAUCCAACGCCAUCAUAAUUUGCAGCCCCGCUUCAGCGACCAGUGAUCCGGAGACACCAGUACUCCACCCUUUCGAUUCAACAGCCCAAUUACCUAUCAACCUGAAGGCUUGAACCACAUCACUGCCUGUCGUAAUUGAGACAUCCAAGGAUCAAAGUUAAUCUGGAUGCCUUUGUCAUUCUCACCUUCUUUUGGCUGCAGACUGUAUUAUUGACAAUCAGGGGAGUAUGCUCCCGAACUCCUAGGGCUCGCCGUGUAGACACAGUUCUCCAUAGCAAACAGAGCCUCUCUGCCAUCAAGGUCCUUGCCAACGGUGAUCUCCUGGUUAAUCGGAUAAUUGAGUCCGAGAAACAGAGAGUGUGAACCAAGGCUGUUUACCCGCCUCCAACUAAAAAAUCCUAAAGGCCCCAACAAGCUGGUAUCCUAUUCAUAGACGUAACAGUCACUGUCCGGAUACUCACGUAUUACACGGUGCUUGUAUACAGUGGGGGUUUUGCAAUAUAACUUUUCCGGCUCAUGUGUCCGAAUGAUCAUCAGUCUUUUGUCGUCGUUUGAUCGAGUGAGGAACCAGUUGUGCUUCCCUGUUUUUGGCACAGGUGGUGUAAUUACAAAGGGCAGUAACUAUAGGGACACUGCAUCAUAUCAAAAAGGACAGGCGUUGUUAAUGUAAGAUCAGCAUUGUUCAGAGUAUGAGUACGAUAAUGCAAGAAACAGCACUGAUAUGUCCCUGUUGGAACUGGGAGGAAAAUACAGGGAAAUGUAUACUGGGUUCGAAAAUAUAGAAUUGCCAUGCAUGGUUAUACUCAUGUUAUCUCGCAAUCGAUUCUUCACAGGAAACUACCAUGUCAUGCAUGUUAUGUAAUCAUGUUCUGUCCUCACAAACAAAUUCUUCAAGGUAACUAACAUGCAUUUUUAUAUACUCGUGUUCUGUGGGCAAAAAUUUUGUGAGGAUAUUAUUCUAGCCAUUGAUUGCUGAAGGGCGAAUAUAGGUAUGUACACAUGGUAAGCAUUGCAGGAUUUCACUACUUCCAAAUAUAGAGUUCUCCAUAUGCACAUUUACUUCCCUAAUGUAUGGUUAGAUGAAAAAACAGUGUGGUGCAUGUUUCUACAUCAUGAAAAUGAGGAAACUAACAUGGCCAUUGAUACACACUCAUAUUUAGUAGUAGUAUAUAGAUUACUGUAAAAUAAGGAUAGUAUCCAUAUAUUCCUAACCGUUUGAUUAUUCACGGUACAAAUUGGCUGUAAUGACAUGGUCACAAUCGCAUGAAUUAACUCAUUCCAAAUAUAGCUGAUUUACGGCGUCCCUAAUAUAUUGCCAUAGUUCUACUCAAAUUCUGCCCAAACAGGGAUAUGCCAAUCAUCACAAAAAGUUCAAACAGUGUCAUGGCGUCAUCAUUAACAUGAGACGGAAACAACUUACACGCGCCGUCCCAGCAAUAUGUGGUGCCAUCUGCUUUGUCGAUCGCGUAGAUGAUGUCAUUGUGUUCAAUAGCAUCACAGAAGUGUGUAUUAGCUUUGAUGAUGAUCCACUGCGAGCUGAGUUGUCUCCAGCUAAAAAAGGCACCGGCGUAAAGAUAGGCGAGUUCGCGGUCGAACAAGGCAAUUAGCUUGAAGUAUGCAUAAUUCGCAUGUCGUGUGGGUACUUGGCAGAUUACAAUCUUCUGCAAAACAAGGUCCGUCCAACUGACGUAUUAAUCUAGAUGACUUGGACCGCGAUGGUAAUACUCUAUAUAAUCCAACGGUGGAAGGAUAAUCUCAUGGGGGUCUGGAAGUUCACGAGCACCAACUUUUUACCGUCUUCUCUGAAGGCAACCAUCCAGUGGGAGUUCAUGCCGACCCAGUACAUACCUACCAAGAAGUUUCGGGUGAUGGUGAUCGGAUCGAUGUCGAGGGAAAUGAUGUACGGCGACACACUACAUACCUGCAAAGAAGUUUCGGCUAAUGGAGAUCGGAUUGAUGUCGAGGGGCAUCAUGCACGCCUCCGUAUCAUGGUGAGCCGAUCUCGCAAGACCAGAUAGCAGCAAGCAGGGUGUCUUGAAAAGCUUAGGCCUCGCUUCGACGAUGGCCGUGUGCAUGUCCCUCGAGCAUGCAGCCAGCCGCAGGGUGGUCAACAUAUCCAUACACGAACAACAGAGGUCGAGGAUGUCACUUGGGAGAUUGCUCAAAUCGCGGCUCAUAUGGAUGCUGCGUGGUUCGCGUUCGGCCAUGGUGGAGUUUGGAAGGGGGCUUGAUUUACGGGGGAGAAGGAUGUCGGUGCUGGAGCGGCUAGCAAGGGAAUAGUGGUACUGGGGGAGGCGAGUGAGGCAACAGUACACGGGGGCACAGUGAGACGGAGACGAAGACGGAGAAGGAGAUGGAGAUGGAGUGGUGCUAUGGGAGCAGAGAGGGAGACGAGGCGAGGCGCCAAUGUGUUGUACAGCAGCGGUGACAGACUGCACAGUGCACAGGGUGAGGCUGACUUUGGUAACCCGAACACACCGCCUCGCCUGGACCAGUGUCAGGCGUAGGGUGUUGUCACUUCACUGUGAGGACCGGAUGAAUAGUAUUUUGACCAUCAAGUGUACCACAGUUGUACUACUACUACUACUACUAGUAGUAGUAGUAGUAGGAACAUGAGUACUCCAGUAUUGUAUAGCGGAAAUAGGUCUCCCGUGCUAGCAUGCCUGUUCACUUCAUCGUUCAGGUAUCAUCCAUAUUGCGAGCAGAACCAAAUUCUCGUGCAUGCCCAAUCAACGCCCUGCCACGAUGCAUGCAGUGGUUGUUCUGGUGCAUCAAGGAUGGCAUGCAGAUCGUUCCACACUUGAGAAGAGGAAAAAAUGGAAAGGUAGAACGCGGCAGCAGAGGAAGAGAAUGCUGGCUAACGAGGCUGGGAGGGGAUCAAGCAGGAAGUUAAUGCUCCAUGCCUAAAGGUUUUGGGAAAACCUGAUUUUCAUAAGGCUGGCCAUAGUGGGGGUAACAUAACUAGUAUCAUGUACUUGGGACUCGCAAACAUGCUUAUGUGGCAAAAGAUUAAAGAAGAGAGAGAGGAUAGUAGUAACAUAGGUAGAUACCAUAACAUAAUAAAUGUUAUGCUACUAUGUGUCAUGCAUGGCAAUAAAUGAGACCAUCUAUGAUACUACUUUAUGAUACUAUGCACUAUGGAUAUAGUAUCAUACACUAGUAUCAUGGUAUAUGUUACUCUCCACUAUGACCAGCCUAAGGUGACUUAUACUCACCUAAACGAAGGGAGUAUUCCUUAACCAGAGAAUGUUGUGUCUCCCACUCACGCGCUCAAAAAAAAGCUAUGACACAUUUUUUUUAUCUGUUUGCAUAGGUCCCACCUAUCAGGAAGGAUGGGCACGUACACGAACAGGUACGACUCCUCAGUCUACCCGCAUAGCCUUUUCGUUUAGUCUACCUAGUCGUCUAAUCAACUGCCUGCACGCCACUUCUCCCAUUUACUUCUCCAUCGGGAACCGAUUCGCCUCGGCUUCUUCACCUCCCCUUCGUCUUCAUUUACAUCCAAACCCCACUGUGUUCACAUUGUUUUAACCUCUUUAAAUAAUCAUCUACUACUUUAGUUAGACUAGUCAUCUAAUCCUAAUUCUCCAAAUCAUAGCCCUCCGUUCUAGCGGUUCCAAAUGGUGAAAGAGAUCGAGAUGCAGGUUUUUAGCGUCCAACAUGUCCUCGUUGAAGGCUCGAUGCGCAUAGUUGCCACCAUCACCGUCCACCCAAGGGUUGUUCGGCAGUGGAUCAACAAUGUAUCCAACUCCCUCAAAAAGGUAGAGACGAGGGUCAUCGGUCUCAACACAGAGUACACGGAGCAUGCCCCUGGGAAGAUCCAGCGCGUCGCCGUCCUUCAGCUGUGCCUCGAAGAUGAUGUUUUGGUGUACCACACCAUACACUCGCCCUCCAUACCAGGUGAGCUUCACGAUUUCUUGUCUCGGGAGGACGUAUACUUCUGUGGGGCAGCCAUCGAAGGGGACAAACAGAAGCUGGAGCCGUACAACCUUGAUUUGAAAAGCAUCGCUUACCUACAAACCAGAAUCAAAAUUCCUGUAGAAGAUUGUGCUAAACAAACACCAUCCCUAUUCGACGUAGCAAAUUUUGUGCUCGGUACAAAUCUUCAGAAGGGUGACGAGACAGUGGCAUUAAGGUCGUCUGGAUGGGAGAAUUAUCCCUUGACGUACAAGCGGAUAAAAUAUGCUGCCCUCGAUGCCCGUGUGAGUUUUGAGAUAGCUGCAAGGUCCAAAGAGCUUGUUGCGAAGCCGUCUCCCACAGAGAAUGAGAACAAGAAGAACAAGAAGAAGAAGAAUAAGAAGAAGAAGAAAACGUUGCACCAGCAGGAGGGCAUUAUGGAUGGAUGAACUAUUUCCUCUCUUGUAAAAAAAUUAUUCCCUCUCGGUGUAUAUUGAUAUAGAUGGACUAUUUCGAUGGUGUGCAUGUCUUUGGAACAGAGUAGUAGUGUGGGUCCGCUUGACUAUAAGGAAUUAUUUAUCUGCAUAUAUAGCUUUCUCUGCUACUCCUUCCAGUGAUCGGUAUACAGUGCAUGUGUCCGUAGACAUGACAGCUUGUCCAUGGAAGUUCAACUAUGGCGACCAUCAUGUUUCAUCUCGCGAUUCCCACGACGCCUCUCCAACCCACGGCACCACCCCCCCCCCCCGACAUGCGCCUCACCCCUCUCGGCCGCACCGCCCCUCUGCCUUUGUGUGCAUGAAAUGUGGGCCACCUAAAAUGCGGCGAGCAUCAAGUUUCUACCACAGCCGCCCACGAUUCCCACGACGCUGCUCGAAUCCAUGAAACCACACGUCCCCCGACCUGUGGCUCACCCCUCUUGGCCCCACUGCCCCUCUGCCUUCGGGAGCAUUACAUGUGGACCAGUCACCUAUCGGGUCCACAUGUUAUUGACUCAAAGGUAGGUGUAGUAAGGCGCUGAAGCUCAGUCCCGACGGCCCUGAGAGGGAAAUGUAACUCCUGCGCCAGGGCUUGUGGUGCUCCCGCAGCACAAACUCGUGCCAAACUCGAGAUUUGUUUCAUUACUAUACAUGCACGAUUUAAUGGACAUUGUAAUCUCAACAUGUGAUGGGGAGCUCUAAAUUUGAAUUUGAAACUUAUAAAACGAAAAGAUUCAAAACAAAUAAACUGGAGAGAGGGAGUAUAUCGUAGGAUGUGUCCCAUACAAAAUAAGUCCCCUGGUUUGUCACCGCGAAGAUGCGGUUAGAAAGGAGCACAGCGUCUUCCUACUCGUACGGCAACAAAUCGGCCGCAGACAGCAUGGUCCGCCUUUGACCGCCAUGUGCAAGGUUUGUGCUAUCUUUUAUUCAAUCUCACCGUGGUUCUAUCGUACCAAUUCAUGCGGUGGCCCGUUGCAUGGCUGAUCCCAAUGUUGGACAAAGGUUCUACGGGAACGGUGUCACCGUUGUAAAUGUUGUGCAAAUUGAUGUUGGUACCCUCCCGUACAUAUAUAUGCAAGCCAAUCUCCACUCGCACCGAGCCUAGCCUGUGAAACAGUGGGCGGGGGGGAAUUAGGAAAUGGACACGGAAGUUGUCUUUAGAAUGCAUUUACUACGUGAUCAAACUCAUCUUACCUGCUCAUCGGAGGAAAUCCGAGUGCCCCUCGACGUCGGCAUCUCAAGGGGCGUCAACUUGCAACUACGGCCACGCUGCGCUGGAGAGACCCCCAAGGAAACAUCCUCGUGCGUUCCAUGGAACAUCAAGAUGCAUUUGUAUGAGUAGUUUAUCUUGUGAGAGAAAAGGAUGAACGAGGGAAGGCCUCUAGAGAUAGAGAUGGACACUACUACUACCAAUGUGCUGGCCCGUGCGUUGCAAUGGAUCCAAACUAGUAGAAUAAUACUUGUUCACGUGCUUGAAAUAUAAACACUCUAGUUUUGAUAUACAUGUGUCAGCAGACACGACAGCUUGUCCAUGGAAGUUGAACCACGGCGACCAUCACGUUUCUUGUUUCUACCACUGCCACACCCACACGCGAUUCCCACGACGCCGCUCCAACCCACGGCACGACGUCCCCCGACGUGGACAUGGAUCCUCUGACAUGGCUAUCACUGCCUUGCCCUGCCUUUCCUUCCCUGACAGGUGGGACCCACGCUUAUGGGUCCCACAUGUCAGUGACAUAACGGUAGGAUUGUUCGUGCCCCUCAUCCCUCUCGGCCCCACCGCUUCUCUGCCUUUGUGUGCAUGACAUGCGGGCCAGCUGAACUGCGGCGACCAUCAACUUUCUACCACAGACACACCCAAUUGGACGCGGUUUGCCUGCUCCGCUGCUGUGCUCCGAUCUGUACUCCCGCACCAUCGAAUUUUCAUCCAGCGGCUGUGACACAUUUCAUCCCGGGCAUCAAUCCUCAGUUGGAGUACUUAUGUACUACAGGUAGUACCCGCCGGUGUGGCCAUCUACGCCUCGUAACGCCCCGAUGCCCAGUUGUGGUACCCUCGCCAUGGCCAGGCCACCACCGGCCGGUUCAUCUCGAACGAGUGAGUCGCGAACCACGCCACCACCAUGAGAAUGACAUGUGGGCCAGCCGCAUUUAAGGCCCACAUGUCAUUGACUCAUAGGUCGGGCACUAAGCCACUGAAGUUCGGUCCUGUGGGCCCCGAGAGGAAAAUGUAACUCCUGCGGCAGGCCUUGUGGUGCUCCCGCAGUACGAGCUCAUGCCAAAACUGGAAUUUGUUUCUUACUACUACUAGUACUUGUAGGAAGGUACACGUGCAUUGCACGCAUGAGAUUCUGGUGGUUUGUGCAUUAUGCUUCUACAUGUGGAGUUUUCUAGAUUCUAACAUGUGGAAAAAUUUGGUGGAAUGUAAGGUUAGGCAAGUUUGAUUAACUUACGUGAGUGUUUGGUUCAAGCCACACCUUAGGCAAGCCACACUGGCCCCACAUGACAUACACACAAAAAAUGUGGCAAGAUUCCCUUAGGCUUGCCAACUUGUGGCAAAAUUUGGUGGAAUGUAAGGUUAGGCAAGUUUGAUUAACUUAGGUGAGUGUUUGGUUCAAGCCACACCUUAGGCAAGCCACACUGGCCCCACAUGACAUACACACAAAAAAUGUGGCAAGAUUCCCUUAGGCUUGCCAACUUGUGGCAAAAUUUGGUGGAAUGUAAGGUUAGGCAAGUUUGAUUAACUUAGGUGAGUGUUUGGUUCAAGCCACACCUUAGGCAAGCCACACUGGCCCCACAUGACAUACACACAAAAAAUGUGGCAAGAUUCCCUUAGGCUUGCCAACUUGUGGCUCUCAUUUUGAAGAACUUAUUAAUAACUUUGCCUGAGCUUAGUUGUGGCAAAGUUAGUCAUGAAUUAAGUUCANNNNNNNNNNGGUGAGUGUUUGGUUCAAGCCACACCUUCGCCAAGCCACACUGGCCCCACAUGACAUACACACACAAAAUGUGGCGAGAUUCCCUUAGGCUUGCCAACUUGUGGCAAAAUUUGGUGGAAUGUAAGGUUAGGCAAGUUUGAUUAACUUAGGUGAAUGUUUGGUUCAAGCCACACCUUAGGCAAGCCACACUGGCCCCACAUGACAUACACACAAAAAAUGUGGCAAUAUUCCCUUAGGCUUGCCAACUUGUGGCUCUCAUUUUGAAGAACUUAUUAAUAACUUUGCCUGAGCUUAAUUUUGGCAAAGUUAGUCAUGAAUUAAGUUCAACCAUGUAGUCUUCUAGAUUAUACAUGUGGCAGAAUCUGGUGGAUGAUAUCCAAUGGCCAGUAGUGCUCGGAUUUGCCAUCUUUGUACCGUCGGAUUGGCUUCAUCCAACGACCAACUUUCAAAGUUUUUCACACACUAUAUAGGGGGUAUAGAUAUAGAUGUGUCGGUCCGUUGCAAUGGAUCCAAAGUAUAUCUAUUUAGUGGAGUGCACUCUAAACACAUUAUCUAUUUAUUUUUCUCUAACCUUCCGUAGCCAUGCAACCAAGCCACAUAAGCUUCAUGGGUGCCCCCACAUCAUAUUAUUCAUACUACGUUGAUUGAAAAAAAGAUAAAUCGCCCAAAACAAGAUCUUCCUGUUUUUUGUUCCUACGAUGUUGUGCCAUGCACGUAUCUACUAGUUGUAUAGUGGUAGUACCAGUAAUAUAAUAGUAUUAGGAGUACAAACUUGGUAGGAGUGGUACUAAUACGGAAUGCUCCUACUCUAUCAACGAGCCCCAUCUGCCACAAAAUUUCUUGGCUUCCGUGCUACAGCGAGAUCUUCCCCUUGUUUCUGUUUUCCAACCCGGCGGCGGGCGGGGUGUCGGUUUGCUCAACGGGCAGUCCCACAUGAAAGUGAAAAUGCUAGGCAGGCAACACGCCUUCCCUAAGCUAUGUGUCGUGCCGGACGGGCCGUGUUGUACUCCCGAUUCCCGGGCAUGUGGGGGUGCGACGCGAACGUGGCAGGCCUUUUCCUUUUACUAGCAAUGUGCCCGUGCGUUGUGACGGAUCCAAAGUAGUAUAAUAGUAGUAUUUCUUCACAAACUUAAAGAAAUCACUAUUGUUUUGAUAUACUCCUAAUAUAUUACUCCCUUCGUACCUAAAUAUUUGUCUUUUUUGAGAUUUCAAAUGGACUAUCAGAUACGGAUUAUAUAGACAUAUUCUAGUGUUUCUAGCAAGAUGCCCGCGCGUUGCACGAGGUUGAUGGAAAAGGUAAUCACAACUUACAAAUUGACGGAUGGAGUACUAGUUACAGUGAUGCAUAUAAUUAAGCAAAGGGAUCGCACAUGUCGGUAUUGACUGGAACGAGAAUGCAACAGCACAAUAAGAAUUAAGGCCACGAUGAUGCGAUCGAAGUGGUGGUUACAGAAGGCAAGAAGAAAGAUGGAUCCAUGAACGUACGACCUCCUCCUCCUCAACUUAGUGCGUCGGGCCACCGUCCGGAGGCUAAGGAGCGGCGGCUUUUGUGGCGAGGUCAAGGUGCUUCUCAACAAAGGCAUCCAAGGCUUCCAGCCGGUUGAGGAAGGCCAACGUCAUAGCAUCCUCACUGGCCCUGUAGAUACCUAUGUACAUGAUUUGCUCGUAUGCGUGGAUGUGUAGGUCGAAGAAUUCUUGCAGGGUGAGGCGCCUCGCGGCGAGCGCGACCUCCAAGUGGACAUUCUUCGUGGCGUUGGCAGGAAGUCGCAGGGCCACCAGUGCUUGGAAGAGGUUCCGGCCAUGGAGGCCGAUUCGGGUGGCAGGCAAUGAGGAGCCCGAGCACGCGGGCUGGAGGAGUACGGCGAUGUCGUCCGCGGGCUUCUUGAGGACGGUGAACUUGUUGCUGGUGGCAACGAUCAUCUAGUCCAACUUAGAGUCAUAGUUGGCGUCGACGGCGGCCAUCCACCAGCCGGUCUCCAACACCGUCUGGAGACAAUCCUCGGCGCCAUGCCGCAGGCCGGCAUCGUGGACCAUCUAGCACAGCCGUUGGCCGCUCACGCGCAUCGCUGCCAUGGGUCUGGAGCGAGCUCUUUUGCGCUUAGUGUAGGUUCUUAGGCAAGUGCUUAGGUGCGUACGAUGUGGUAGAUGCAUUGGAAUGGAGGAGGGGCGCCUUUAUAUGAGGGCAAUGAGGGAAAACUGCGUUGCAUUCACAUCAUGCAGCCUCUUUUCCCGGACCUCCUCCCAUUACUUCCUUCAUGCAUUAAUUGAAGGAGGAUGCAUUGGCCGUUCAACAUAUCGGGAACCGCUACUCCCUCCCUCGUCUGCAUUAAAGGCGUAUCGGGAACUACGCCGCCCGCUGUCAAAUCGAAUACUCCCUCCGUCUAGGUGAGUAUUAUAAGUCAUCUUACGAAAACCAAAUACUAGUAAUCAACCAAGAAGAUAUGUGGGGCUUGUAUGCUUUUAAUGACUUGAGACUAUCAAACAUGACAUGCAGUGGUCAGUUCAUUGCACAAGAACAAAUACAACCCACGUCAGCACACACGCAUCUUAUAGCAUCACAUCCAAUGGCUAUAAAAGAUGAAUGAGACCAAAUUAUAUCUCAUCUAGAUGAGUUCUAGCAAAAUUGUAUUAAUAAUAAUUAGUACUCCUGCACCAUGUAUCAUAUAAGUAUCAUGUAGUACUUUAUUUAUUGCCAUGUAUGACACAUAGUUCACGAGCUCUCUCUAUAUCUACCACCUUUUUUUUAAUUUCAAGUUUUGCUCCAUGGCGCAACCCAUCGAUACUACUACUAUACAAAAGUGGAGUAUAUGCAUUUUUUAAAAGGCUAGAGGGCGGGGCAGUCUAGCUCGGUCGGUUUCACGAGAGGCGAGGGCCUUUGUGAUUUGACGGCUCAUUAAUGCUGUCAAAUCGAAUAGUACUGCGCCGCCCGCUGCACAACCGGCGCCUCCAUUAAACCCCUCCGUUAAACCCGCAUGCAAACCAAGAAUCCUACUCCGGCCACACGUCCAUUCAUGAGCGGGACGGAAUUAAACGCAACACCAGCCGAGAUCCUCCCGUCCGCCCUCAGUUUAAACAAGGCCAGACGCCGGCCAAGCUCCUACCGUCCGCCCUCUAUUUACAUGAGGCCUGGCAGACAGCGGGCAAGAAUCACACCCCUCCGUUGCUCCCCCAUCUCCUUCUUCACCAUUUUCUCCACCAUUCCGAUGGCUUCCGAUGAGCCGUUCUCCGGCAUAUUACCAGGCUGGGUGGCCCGCCGAGCCCUCCGGAUACGGGCGAGGCCGCUCGGUGCUUCACCAACCUCGCUUGGCCCGACGGAGCCAGUUGCCGCCCUAAGCAGGCGCGUGGUUUAGCAACUCACCACUCCAGUUCAGCUCGAUGAGGAGUGGCGAGUUGCUCCACGCCGGCAUGGCGGCGAGCAGGCCGGUACGGGCACCAUCACUGCCGCGUCGUACCACACCACCAGUGUCUGCGGUGGCCGCGCCUCCCGUGUCUGUGGGCGCGCCUCCCGUGCCUGCGGCAGCACCAUGUAGGCAGAGACAGAAGCCGGGUGCAUGGAGAGCGACCAGUCGGUGGCCAGCUUCUCCCUGUCCGCCGCCAUCAUCGAGGAGAAGUAGAACACGGGAGGUCGUCGCCACUUGGGACCCAUGAAGGCCACCAGCGAGGCGACGACCGCAGAUUCAGGUGGUUUCUUUGCUGCUUCGUCUCUUCCGAGGACCUUCAUCAACCCCGCAAGUGUCUGACGGACAUGAGGAAGGCAAAGGGAUCCGCGGGCGGCCAUUUAGAACUAAAAUAAGUCUAGAUAUAUCCAUUUCUAGGACAAGUAUUUCCGGACGGAGGGAGUAUUAAUUAUACAAGAGAGCCGGAUUGGCACCUCUUAGUUCAUGUAAAUGUAAUGAAAUCCAUCAUGUUUAUAUGAAGAUCCGGCUUUUUAUACGAAAUCCUUCAUGCUUAUAUGAAAUCAGUCCGUGUUUUCACGAAUUUCAUCUGCUUGGUUAGAGUUGUAAAAAUGUAUGUCGCUGGCGUUUGAUGUUGUCCUCUACGGAAGGAAGCGGGAGGAAAUUUGCCGGCUGCCGUUGGUGAUGCUCUUUAUGCUGGAAAUAAUAGAGUGACAUCCAAUCCAUUUGAGUUAAUUUCCUAUAUGAUUGUCCCUCUAUAAAAAGUUAAUUGCAUGUACAGUGUACACGUGACUUGCAGGGUGGCUACAGCUUCAUACAGAAAGUUAAAAAGAAACAAGUCCAUCCUUAAUAUUCUAAGUACUCUGUGGGUUCCACUGUCAGUACAGUAGCGAAAGAAGUAUAUAUUAAAUAAGUAGAUUAAUAUAUAAUAUACAAAUCUAAAGUUAAAACACAAAAUUCGAACUCAUGUCAUCGCAUUGCGAGCAUCCGGCGCUAACCAGCCCAGCACAUUUUUACUAUAAAGAAUUGUGUGGGAUGCGAUAUAAAAUAUUUUGGUGCACCGUCUUGUAUGGCUUAUGCAGGAAGCUUCGUCGUCUACGGUCCAUCUCCCCCGCUUGAACCACACUUGCGCGCAUGUUUCUCGCGGCAGCGAGCAAAAAAAGUUUCCACCACGGAAAUAUCUAUCUCCCCGCCCCCUCCCUCCCACCAAAAGCCACAUUUCCAAUGUUCCUCCUUGCUUUCCAAGUUCAAACCUUCACUGCUACUUACUGGCAGCUCAGCCUCCUCGCCGGCGACCCUUCUUCUUGCAGCGCCGCCUCCUCGCCGGCUACCCUUCUUCUUGCAGUGCCGCCUCCUUGUCGGCGACCCUUCUUCUUGCAGCGUCGCCUCCUCGCCGGUGACCCUUCUUCUUGUUGCGUGGCCUCCUCGCCGCCAACCCUUCUUCUUGUUGCGCGGCCUCGCCAAUAUGGUCAGGUAAUCCAUGCCCCACCCACACCAUCCUCCUCCUUUCUCGUCCCACAUGCCCCGAACAAUGGCGCGACACCUUCUGCCGAAAUCAUUGUCCCCCUCCUCCAAUUAAGUGCCGCCCACAGCCAUUUUGCAUGCAGUAUAACGUGGAGCUCAGUAGCAUCUGGCAGCAGAGAAGUAAAUCGCGGCCGCACGCACGCACAAGGUCGCUAUGGCUGCCAUGCGUGCCAACUGCCAAAUCUUGGAGGAGCACCUCAUCUUCGAGGCCACCGUCGACACCGCCAUGCGGUUGUCUACUUUAAAAUAUAGUUCAUGCUGUUUUCUCAAGGCCACCGCCAAUGCCUUCUAGUGAUUUGUCCUCUGUAAUGUUAAUAUGCAAUCUGAUGUUCAGUUUACAGUUUGGUCCUCUGAAAUGUAAUGUUUAGCUAACACUUUAGUCCUCUGAAAUGUAAUGUUCAGUUAACAGUUUGGUCCAACAAUUGCUACAUUUCGUAGUAGUGAUCUCAAGCAUUCUUUGUUUUGUUAAUUGUACAUGUUUCUAUUCUGCAAUGUUGUGCUUAGUUAACUAUUUUUGUUCAUUUGGUCUACUAUCCAUUUAACUGUUUGGUUCAGUUCUGCAAUUUGAUUUUCAUUUGUUGUGGGUACAAUUUUGUAUUGUUACGCAUGUGAAAUAAAUCGAAUUUGUCUAUACUCAAUACAUAUUCUACUGAUAGUAUGACAACUCUCAGUUAAUCUGAUCAAGAUCUUCCUUAUGUGUGUUGUAGGGAAACAAUGGGAGACACUGUGGUUUACCAUCGAGGUUUGUUCAAGCAUGGUCCUUUGGCUAAUAGCACAUUACUGUGCAGUUGCAGGAAUCAUUCUAAUAUUUAGGUUUCUUACAUUUGGUCUUGCACAUGUAGGUCCCGCUAUCAGAGGCUUAGACCCACUAUUCGACCCAUUUUGCAUAUGGGGAAAUGAGAUGUCCAUGAAUAUCAGUCAAGUUAAGAAACUCAAAAAGAUUGUUAGGAUGAAGAAACUUGCGAGAGAAUAACAGCAAGAUCUUUGUUUGCACAAUGAAGAAGACAUCAGUCAACUAUAGGAUUGUGCUAACUCUUUUACCUUGUUUUUACCCCUUGCGCCAUCGGUCAACUAUAGGAUGGUACUAACUCUUUUACCUUGUUUGCGUAUCUUUAUUUUCAGUACUUUUCAAAGCAGUUUGCCAAUGAUUACCUCUCAAACCACCUGCAUGGUCAAGAGGCAAGGAAGGUAUUCAUUCAACACCCACAGUACAAUAUUGAAGUCUUGCUGAAGAGGACGAAGGUUGGGUGGGCAAUUAUCCAUAGCCACUGGCCUAAAGUUGCUAGGACAUUCAACAUCACUGAAGGCUCAACAUUUGCCUUCUGCUUCUACAGUUUCCCAGAUGAGAUUUAUCUAUCUAUUUACCUUGUAUGAUGCUACUUUCUAAAGGUUUUUGAUGUUGCAUGUGAAACUUGGUGCUGUUGUGUAAUGGCGGAACUGAGUGCCAAAGCUAUCUGAUGUAAUUCGAUUAUGAAAUCAUGGUUGCUAUUAUACGGAUAUGAAAUAUCUGGUGUGUUUUUAUAAGAAAUAUCAAUUUGAUUAGUAGAUGGAUUAUCAAUAAUAGGCUAAUUACACAGCUUAUUGGGGUUUUCUAUUGUAGAUGGUUACUCAGACAGCACCAUGGGAGAUGAACUCAAACAACACGCACGGUUUCUAGAAAGUAGGCGUGUUCGAUCAACUAACAAUCACACACGGCUUCCGGUAUAGAACUAUUUGCGUUGGGCCACCUUGCACAAACGUUUCCACACAAAAAACUGUGUGUGAUAUACAUACGAGCGGAAAUGUUUUUCUGGGAUUCACCGUGUGGGAUGUACAUACGAACGGAAACAAUUGGGCUUCGAUGCCCUGCCAGAUCGCACACGAACUCAUUUUGCCCUAGCCAAUGUGCCAAGAGGGCCUAUCCCCGAUGGUUUCUGGGUCGUGUGGGAAGGACCCCCCCCCUAUCGCCCAUACUCACUUGGCGACGGUUCCAAACACCGUCGCGGAAAGGGGUUAAAAACCAUUUGUAUAGCAUGUUGUUGUACCAGUGCAUGUUCUAUUGACUCAGAAUGAAACCACAAUGCAGUUCUAGUAGAGUUGAAUAGCCACAUAGUAGGUAUUAAAAAUCACUCGCGCUAACAUGGCAGAUGAGUGCUUUAAUGAUGCCCACAAGAUGCGAGAGUAUUACUAUAUUUUUCUUGCCAUGCUGAGAUUUUAAAACUACGAAUGCGAACAUGCAGAGGAGCAAUGAGGACCAAAUGCGAGAUUUUGGGGACAUCUUCAAGGAGCAUCGCAAGUUAAAGAGGAGCUACACCGAACCAGUAAAAUGAGCUUUGGUAAGUAACAACAUUUCAACUACUUUGACAUUGAGAACCUGAGUAACAGUGGUGGAUAUUUUGUGUGUCCUUGAUGGUUUCAUUAAGGAAAUUAGAGGGAGCCCCCUCUUUGAUCAUUUUUUUACUUUUACAUGGUAUGUGUCUGGCAGCGGUAGUGAACACAGGACCAGGGCAGGCCCUGGGCAAGCCCCGAGCCGAAAAUAUCGUCAAACCAUGUUGUCUGCUUGGCUAGGGUUCUUGCCAUGCAAUCUAGCAGUGUGGGAGAUUAUUAAACAAUAAUAGGCGAGACAAACAAUUUCCUAUACACUUGAGUAGGCUCUCAAUCAUUUGUAGGAUCUCAAUUUACUCACUGGACCCACCAUGUCGUAGGAUGAAUCCUUUGUAAUUUAAUGUUGAAGCUAGUCAGUCAAACGUGUCUAUAGACACCCUGGAGAUCAUCUGGUUGCUUGUUGUUUUGCUGCAACAACCCUUAGCUUAGUGCACCCCCUCUGCUGGUUUUUCUAUUUCUCUUAGCCUUGUGUUCUUCAAUGUAUAUGUUGUAGUUUCUAUAAGCUGGAUCUGCAUGAUAUGUAAUAAGCAUAGUCUUAAUCGUCCUAAUGCUUUCCUUUGUAGCGUGAUGUAGGAAGUGGGUGUUCUCGCCUUGGAGUCUAUUUUUAUAUUUCUCCUUUUGAAUUCACUUCUCCUAGUCCUAUUUAUCGGGCUUCUACUUAAUGGAUCUGGGAGCUCUGACAAUUGAUCUAAAAAAGAAGUAACUUCUUAAUGUCAGGAUGCAGUUCCUGCGAGGAGGGAAGUAUGCUCAACCUUGAGAUCAUGUUUCUAAAUGAGGUUGGAUUACACACAAGGUGCCAGUUCCCUAAUGAUGUCAAAUUAGACACAAGGUGGAAAUUUCCAGAUGAUGCUGGAUUACUCACAAGCCAGGUCAAGUCCAAUUGUUUGUGUCCUCGUGGCUCUAGUAAAGGCUGAAAGAAAGCGUGCGGCGGCCUCGAGAAUGUAGCUGAGUUCCUGAAGAAGCGAAAAGAGCAAUCACAUGCUCUCUUCACCCAAGCCAAAGAAGAGAUGGAAGAAGCCAAAAAGAAGCUAGCAGAGGCACAGCAGGCUAGGCAUCUCCUGCUAUCUAAAACGGUUGUCAAUACAAAUUUUCAUUCAUAAUAGCUAGGUUCAAAUGUUUAUCCAGUCAGCAUGCCUAUUGUGAUGUUCGUGCAUCUACUGAGAUGUAUGUAAGUCUAUGAUGCCGAGAUGUGGCACAAAAUAUAUUUUUUUCUGGUCAUGUAAUAACAUCCAUUACUUUCCGAACAAUAAUAGAUGAACCAUUGGACAUGGUAUAGUUCACACGCAAGCCCAACAUUCCAAGUUCAACUUCCACAUCAAACUCAUGUUCAUAGAUAUCUUCACAUUCAUAGAUAAUGUCCACAACCAUGAUUCACUUCAAGGCAAAAAAAUGUGAGGAGAAAUAGAAAUAAAAAAUCUCUAGUUCUUACUACCAAUAUCAAUGCUUCUCCGAAACAACAUUUAGUUCAGAGCCAAAACACAAAUUCCUUCUGGGAGCAUUGAUGAAAAAGGUGCAAUUUCUACCAAGGGUGGAGGGGGGACUCACCUAUAAUUUUCUGGAGUUCCACUAAAAUUGAGGUAUCUACUUCUGUUUGCACAAACAUGCUUGAGAUAUAGAUUGGCAUCUGUGUUUGCAAAAAUAUGUAAAAGAUUUAUCAAUGGCAUUGCGUCAUUUUACAAGUGCCACUGGAUUUAUAGAUGGCCUAGAUUGACAGCAGCAUAUUAUUCCCUCUAUGACAUUGCAUCAUUUUACAAGUGGCACUGGAUUGAUAGCAAUAAAACAAUGGGAAUAUAAGGGCAUGCCGAUAUUGGGCGCGCCAACACCAUGUAGAAUACCUCCAUAGAGACAAUAAAUUGGCAAGGCAGAGAUGGUUGCCGAGAGCAAGAAACAUAUUAGUCAAGCACAAAAAAACAAGGCCAUAUGAAAUUAAUUAUAUUUUGGACAUUUUUAACUAAAUGUGAAUGGCCUUUGGAGGCAGGUAUAAUACAAACCGGCGUGCAUAGUCGUUUCAAGUGAUAUACUAUCGAUAAAACAAUAAACUUGGUCUAUGGUUAGUUUUAUGAAAAAACCUUCACAAAACUUAGCUACCUCGAACAAUGUUGCACAGAGUUCAAGGCGCAAGUGAGAGGGGUUUAGGGUUUUGAAUUCAAAAAAAUUCAAUAAAGCCAGAAAUGCUUCAUUAUGGAGUGACUAAGAAGGAUCUGAACUUACUUUUUCAUUUUCAUAUUUUAAGCAUGUUUUCUAAUGGUUCUCUAUAAAAGCAUAACCAAUUUAAAAAAUCAAGAAAUGGACAUUAAUUCAAUAAAUAGUGAGACUUCAAAUGGACAUUAUAUAGAUUGAAUAGGUCUUAAUAAAAAUUAUUUGGCUCAUUUAGACAAGUUGAAAAAAAAUGAUUACAAAUGGGGUUGUUUACCCUAGCUUCGGAGUUCAUUCUGAGCAUUUGGAGCUUCGGAGCUCAUUUGGAGCUUAGGAUCUCAUUUUGGAGCAAAUGUAUAAUAGUUCAGAAAACAUUGCAACAUCAUUUUGCAUUACUACACCUUACAAGUUUUCACACUAGUUCAAAGUUCAAAUUCAAAUAUUUGACUUGCUCCUUGUGUUCGCAAAUGGCUUAACUGUCUUGCUCCUGGUUUCCCUAGCUGGGAUAUUUUGCGGCUUUGUCUUCUUCCUUUUGAUCUUCACUUGGGAUAGUUGCUCCUGGUUUUACAAGCACUUGAUUACCAGUUGACGGUCAUAUGUUGGUUCCAUAAUCUUUAAAGGAACGAGAAGAACCAUGUCUUGCUCCUCUCUUAUAGCUUCAAAACCAUCAUAAGCUAUGGCUUCAAAUUCUACAUCAGAUGAUGAUUCAACAUAAGUUUCUUCCUCUCUAGGCCUUUUCUUUCCUUUUUCUCCACCUAUCCUAGAGUUGGUCAAACAAAAAUAAGAUUAGGGAUAAGCCAUCAAUAAAAAAGAGAGGAAAUGCAUACAAAAAAGGGAAGGCUGCACACAUACCAAGAUGUCGGUGCUUCUACUGCACACAUACCAAGAUGCCGGUGCUUCUCCUCUACUGUUGCAUUCUGCUCUGCAUUUCCUGCUGCCCAAUGUUCCUCUUCUCCAAAUGAUGCAUCCACUGGAUUGGUACAAAGCCUAGCAAUGUGCCCUAGGGUUCCACAUUUUUUGCACUUAUGCUGUCUUUUUACACGACCCUCUUCACCUGCUCUUAUCAUGUUCUUCCUUGGUCUUCCUGGUGGUCUAGUAAGUAUAGGAGAAUAUAGUUUGAACCAUGGAUCUACUCUAUUCCAUUGGUAUUUUCCCAAGAGUGCAGGUACAUUGUGAGCAUAAGCAGCCCAAAAUUUGGCAACAGAGAAAUAUUCAGAGCAAUACUGAUCAACUUCACCAUCUUCACCCCUGAUAACAGUCAUGAGAUGUAAGGCAUGUUUGUUACAACUGCAUUCCCUAGUUGCUAGGUUCACUGGAUACCUCCAUUCCCUAUUUUUAGUGUCAAUAUAUGUUACCUUAGCCUCGUAUGUCGACGGUCAAAUGCAUAUCAUCUUCAAUCCUCUUGCCUUGGCAUGAAAUGCCUUAAUCAGAGAUGGGAGCAUAACAUGGCCAAUGUAUUGCGUUUCUGCAAUUAUUUUACGAAGAGCCAUCUUUAUCAUGAUCAUCUGCCUUAUCUUAUCAAAUGCUUGCCACAACAAUAGCCCUUUCACUGACUUGACCUUUGCAUUGAAGCACUCUGUGAGGUUACUAGUCAUAUAGUCUACUUUGCAGAUUUCAUUGAAUUUGCUUCUUAACCAGACCAUUCCAUGAUGUGCUUCCAAGUACUCCUUCACCUCAGGAUUGUGAGCAUGCAACACUCUCAAAUGGUGCCCAUGCUUCCUGAAGCUGCAUGUGUAUGAUGUUGGCCAUAGGUUCUUAUUGUAAACUUUACCUCUGAAUUUCUUUUUAAAAUUCUACGCUAGGUGUCACAUACAUUCCCUAUGCUCUGCUCCAGGGAAUAAAAUUCCUAUUGCAGUCUCUAAACCCUUGCAAGCAUCUGUGGGUAUAGCUACACCUGGGGGUGUGCCUAUAAUGUUGCACAAUUGCUGCAGAAACCAAACCCAAUUUUCCUCGGACUCUGCCUCCAACACACCAAAUGCAACUGGGAAUAGCCAAUUAUGUCCAUCAACUGCAGAAGCUGCUAAUAGCUGUCCCCUCCAUCUUCAAUUCAAAGCAAUUGCGUCGACAGCCAAAUAGGGCCUGCAACCAUCCAGAAAACCAUGCCAGCAAGCCAUGAAACAAACAAAAACCCUCCUGAAGCACUCCUCAAAUGACUUCCCUCUUAUUUUGUAUGAAAUUGUAUGCUUGUCAAUCUCUACAACACUCCCUAGACUAGCCAUCUCCACUUCAGCUUUGUAAGUGUAAAGCAACUGAAAACUCUCAUUCCAUGGACCACUUAUCCUGUCAAGAGCCAUUUCCCUACCAUAAAAAAUCCUCAUGUAAGGUAUAUCAAUUUUGUACUUCUCAAAAAGCUUCCCAUGGAGUGUUGUUGGACCAAGUGAUGGUGUUUCUCUUAGCCAAUCCAAGAUUGCAUCUGCCACCCACCUAGUCUUUGCUAGCUUUGUUUUGGUCUUUCCCCCUCCCCCUCCAGGUGGACAAGUGUGCUAGUGUGGGUUUUGUUUUAUCUGAAACAAAAUAAAUUAUAAUUAAGAAACAUUACACAAUGAUCUGAAAACAUAAUGGAUCAAUAAAUUGAAAUCCACAAUGAGGUGUGAUACAUGAAUCAAUUUGCUCUUUCGCAUACGGGAUGCAUGCAGCCUCCACCUACACCUAUCAUAUGGGAAAUGAAUAGUGAACCUUGUUGCCUCACUCCUAUCAAUCACAUAAUUAUUUUCAGUGAGCAUGCAAUAUGUACUCACUACAUUACGAUAGUCCACCAUCGAUUCGGAUAUGGUUCCUAGAGUGAGUUGGGGAUCUUACCUAUUCCACUCAAUUGUUGGCAUGUCGUCACCAUUGUAUUCAUCUAAAACUAAGCGAUCAAUGUUCUCAUCCCUCUCUUCAUCAUCAGUGUCAUCAAAUCUAGCAUGACUGCUGGGCUCCUCCAGAUAUUCAUCUUCCAUUGUAUGUUGACUGACUGUAUCUACUAGUUCAGGGUACAUCAUCUCAUCCUCAUCGUCAAGUUGAGGCACUUCCUCGUCAGGCUCUGCACUCUACUUCUAUAGUAGCUGCAAAAGGGACAGAAGAAGCGAUAGCACUAGUAGUAGUGGACAUGUUGUGGCUUUCAGAACCACUUGGUUUACUUGGUCUCGACCUACAAGGAGUGUCAGGGCGCUCGCUAUUAUCAGAGACAGAUGAUGCAUGAACACUCUUCCCCUUGUCUUGUUCUUUGCAUGGUUAAAGCACCUCGAUACGGACUUUACUGAAAUGUCUGUCAGCAUUCAAACUAAUAGCAAUUCCAGAUGCUCGUCGCAAGUUAGUGGGAGAAAUCUUUGCUCAUUGCUGUUGAAAUAUUUCAGUUCAACAGCAUCGGCAGAGCUCCAGUCAUACACGGAAUAGAGUGCAUCACAAAAAUCUUUGAAUGAAAUGUUGGUUUCUACUACCUUCAGGUAGAAAACUCCAUAGAUCAUAUGUGGUUUAGUACCACACAGCAUGCUGGUUUCCAUUCUAACCGCCAACCGAAAAGCAAGCGCAGGAUCAAUCCUAUUUGAUCAAAAUAAAGGGUGAAAACGAAAAGCAAGCAUAGGAUCAAUCCUAUUUGAUCAAAAUAAAGGGUGAAAAAUUAAGCAGCCCAAAUUUGUACGAUUCAAGCGAGUAGUUGUCAAAUACUGCCUAAUUGACGAGUUUUCUCAUAAAUUCGAGGGGAAACUAUGCUUACCCACAUGGAAUCCAUGAAUUAUCCGCCUCCGAUUCCACCCAAUCAUCUCCACGGUUGAUGGGCCGGAGGGUGUCUACCCCCGACAUCGCUUCUUAACCCUAGAUUGGGGGGAGGGGUGAUGUGGCGAAGGCGCGACAUCACCUAUAGACGGAAUAGGGUUAGAGGGUGGAGGGCACGAUGGCGGCGGCGGAGGAGGAGGCACCACGGGAGUGGCUCAAACUAUUUUAGACAAGCUGCUCCGACGUGCCUUCUUGCGGACCCACUCGUCAGGAUGUAACGGUCAAAGGAGGAACCGGCCUAGCCCCACUCGUCAGUAGUUAACAGUCAAACCAUUGACCUGAUGGCAAACGUCUAGUUUGACCAUUGGUGAGAGUUUCAGACAAGAGUGUGGGGAAAAGUAAGCAAAAGUUUAGGGCGUGGGCACAACUGAGCACAACUAAGGAACCAGGGGAACUAUCAUAAAAACCCAAAUUUCUAGGCCUAUUACUAAUCUUUUGCAAAAACAUGUUCCCUUUGUUUUUUAUGAUGAUUGUAAGCCUUUGAAAUACUUAAGAAAGCCUUAAUUUCGGCACCUAUUGUUCAAACACCUGAUUGGAACUUGCCUUUUGAAAUUAUGUGUGGUUGAUGUUCUAGGACAAAGAGUCGAUAAGAAAUUGAAUGUUAUCCAUUAUGCUAUUAAAACUCUAGACAGUGCUCAAAGAAAUUAUGCUAUUAACUGAGAAACAUUUUUUAGCAGUUGUGUUUGCAUGUGAUAAAUUCAGAUCUUAUAUUAUUGAUUCUAAAGUAACUGUUCACACCGAUCAUGCUGCUAUUAAAUAUCUUAUGGAAAAGAAAGAUGCUAAACCUAGGCUGAUUAGGUGGGUUCUUUUGCUACAAGAAUUUGAUUUUCAUAUUAUUGAUAGAAAGGGAGUUGAGAAUCCCGUAUCUGAUAAUUUUUCUAGAAUGGAAAAUGUUCUUGAUGACCCACUGCCUAUUGAUGAUAAUUUUCCUAAUGAACAAUUAGCUGUUAUAAAUGCUUCUCAUAAUACUCAUUUGUAUGCAGACUAUGCUAAUUACAUUGUUGCAAAAUAUAUACCACCUAGUUUUACAUACCAACAAAAUAAAAAGUUCUUCUUUGAUUUAAGAUAUUACUUUCGGGAUAACCCACAUCUAUAUAAAGAAGGAGUAGAUGGUGUUAUUCAAUGUUGUGUGCCUGAGCAUGAACAGGAACAAAUUCUAUGGAAGUGUCACUCCGAGGCAUAUGGAGGACAUCAUGCUGGAGACAGAAUUGCACAUAAGGUAUUGCAGUCUGGUUUUUAUUAGCCUACUCUCUUCAAAGAUGAACGUAAAUUCGUCCUUUCUUGUGAUGAAUGUUAAAGAAUUGGUAAUAUUAGUAGACGUUAGGAAAUGCCUAUGAAUUAGUCACUUGUUAUUGAGCCAUUUGAUGUUUGGGGAUUUGAUUAUAUGGGACAUUUUAGUUGAUGUUGAUUAUGUUACUAAGUGGGUAGAAUCUAUUCAACUAGUAGUGUUGAUCACAACACUUCUAUUAAAAUGCUUAAAGAAGUUAUUUUCCCGAGGCUGAUCUGGUGACUUUUAGUAGUGGCCAACACUCUAGCCAGAUUGAUUUCAUCCUCUCGAGAAGAGAAGAUAGGCGUGCGUGCCUAGACUGUAAGGUGAUACCUGGGGAGAGUGUUGUACCCCAGCAUAAGCUGGUGGUUGCUGACUUCCGCUUUCGGAUUCGUGUCCAGCGGGAUAAGCGUGCCAAGGUCGCUAGAACGAAGUGGUGGAAGCUCAAGGGGGAGGUAGCUCAGGUGUUCAAGGAGAGGGUAUUUAAGGAGGGCCCUUGGGAGGAAGGAGGGGAUGCGGACAAUGUGUGGAUGAAGAUGGCGACUUGCAUUCGUAAGGUGGCCUCGGAGGAGUUUGGAGUGUCCAGGGGAAGGAGAAGCAAAGAUAAGGAUACCUGGUGGUGGAAUGAUGAUGUCCAGAAGGCGCUUAAAGAGAAGAAAGAUUGCUUCAGACUCCUAUACCUGGAUAGGAGUGCAGACAACAUAGAGAAGUACAAGAUGGUGAAGAAGGCCGCAAAGCGAGCUGUUGGUGAAGCAAGGGGUCGGGCAUAUGAGGACCUCUACCAACGGUUAGGCACGAAGGAAGGUGAAAGGGACAUCUAUAAGAUGGCUAAGAUCCGGGAGAGGAAGACGAGGGAUAUUGGCCAAGUCAAAUGCAUCAAGGACGGAGCAGGCCAACUCUUGGUGAAGGACGAAGAGAUUAAGCAUAGAUGGCGGGAGUACUUCGACAAGCUGUUCAAUGGGGAGAAUGAGAGUUCUACCAUUGAACUGAAUGACUCCUUUGAUGAGACCAGCAUGCGUUUUGUGCGGCGCAUCCAGGAGUCUGAGGUGAAGGAGGCUUUAAAAAGGAUGAAAGGAGGCAAGGCGAUGGGCCCUGAUUGUAUCCCCAUUGAGGUGUGGAAAGGUCUCGGGGACAUAGCGAUAGUAUGGCUAACCAAGCUUUUCAACCUCAUUUUUCGGGCAAACAAGAUGCCAGAAGAAUGGAGAUGGAGUAUAUUAGUACCAAUCUUCAAGAACAAGGGGGAUGUUCAGAGUUGUACUAAUUACCGUGGAAUUAAGCUGAUGAGCCAUACAAUGAAGCUAUGGGAGAGAGUCAUUGAGCACCACUUAAGAAGAAUGACAAGCGUGACCAAAAAUCAGUUUGGUUUCAUGCCUGGGAGGUCGACCAUGGAAGCCAUUUUCUUGGUACGACAACUUAUGGAGAGAUAUAGGGAGCAUAAGAAGGACUUGCAUAUGGUGUUCAUUGACUUGGAGAAGGCCUAUGAUAAGAUACCGCAGAAUGUCAUGUGGUGGGCCUUGGAGAAACACAAAGUCCCAGCAAAGUACAUUACCCUCAUCAAGGACAUGUACAAUAAUGUUGUGACAAGUGUUCGAACAAGUGGUGUCGACACCGAUGACUUCCCGAUUAAGAUAGGACUGCAUCAGGGGUCAGCUUUGAGCCCUUAUCUUUUUGCAUUGGUGAUGGAUGAGGUCACAAGGGGUAUACAAGGAGAUAUCCCAUGGUGUAUGCUCUUUGCGGAUGAUGUGGUGCUAGUUGACGAUAGUCGGACGGGGGUAAAUAGGAAGUUAGAGUUAUGGAGACAAACCUUGGAAUCGAAAGGGUUUAGGCUUAGUAGAACUAAAACCGAGUACAUGAUGUGCGGUUUCAGUACUACUAGUUGUGAGGAGGAGGAGGUUAGCCUUGAUGGCCAGGUGGUACCUCAGAAGGACACCUUUCGGUAUUUGGGGUCAAUGUUGCAGGAGGAUGGGGGUAUUGAUGAAGAUGUGAACCAUCGAAUCAAAGCCGGAUGGAUGAAGUGGCGCCAAGCUUCUGGCAUUCUAUGUGACAAGAGAGUGCCACAAAAGCUAAAAGGCAAGUUCUACAGGACGACGGUUCAACCCGCAAUGUUGUAUGGCGCGGAGUGUUGGCCGACUAAAAGGCGACAUGUUCAACAGUUAGGUGUGGCGGAGAUGCGUAUGUUGAGAUGGAUGUGUGGCCACAUAAGGAAGGAUCGAGUUCGGAAUGAUGAUAUACGAGAUAGAGUUGGGGUAGCACCAAUUGAGGAGAAGCUUGUCCAACAUCGUUUGAGAUGGUUUGGGCAUAUUCAGCGCAGGCCUCCAGAAGCUCCAGUGCAUAGCGGACGGCUAAAGCGUGCGGAGAAUGUCAAGAGAGGGCGGGGUCGACCGAUUUUGACAUGGGAGGAGUCCGUUAAGAGAGACCUGAAGGAUUGGAGUAUCGACAAAGAGCUAGCUAUGGACAGGGGUGCGUGGAAGCUUGCUAUCCAUGUGCCAGAGCCAUGAGUUGGUUGCGAGAUCUUAUGGGUUUCACCUCUAGCCUACCCCAACUUGUUUGGGACUAAAGGCUUUGUUGUUGUUGUUGUUGUUGUGGAUUCCCUAGUUAUUUAAUGAAUGAUGGAGGUUCACAUUUUAUUCAUGGUGCCUUCCAUAAACUUCUUGCUAAAUAUGAUGUCAACCAUAGAAUUGCGUCACCUUAUCAUCCUCGGUCUAGUGGUCAAGUUGAAUUGAGCAAUAGAGAAAUAAAGUUAAUUUUGCAAAAGACCGUUAAUAGAUCCAGAAAGAAUUGGUCUAAGAAACUUGAUGAUGCAUUAUGGGCUUAUAGAACUGCUUAUAAAAAUUCUAUAGGUAUGUCCCCCUAUAAAGUGGUCUAUGGAAAAGCAUGUCAUUUACCUCUUGAGUUAGAACAUAAAGCUUAUGGGGCAAUUAAAGAACUUAAUUAUGAUUUCAAACUUGCCGGUGAAAAGAGGUUAUUUGAUAUUAGUUCUCUAGAUGAAUGGAGGACACAAGCUUAUGAAAAUGCCAAGUUGUUUCAAGAAAAGGUUAAAACAUGGCAUGACAAAACAAUUUUAAAACGGGAAUACAAAGUAGGUGAUCAAGUUCUAGUAUAUACAAUUCUUGUUUAAGAUUCUUUGCAGGAAAACUUCUCUCUAAAUGGGAAGGACCAUACAUCAUCGAAGAAGUUUAUCGCUCCGGAGCUAUCAAGAUCAACAGUCCUGAAGGCACUAACCCGAGGGUUGUUAAUGGGUAAAGAAUUAAACAUUAUAUCUUAGAUACACCCAUUAAUGUUGAAACUAAUAUUAAACAAACUAUGACAUCGGAACAUCACAUAGAGGAAACCUUCCGGAAAGCUCCAGAAGCCUGAAAAGGACUAGGUACGUGGUACGGUAAGUAAACUGACUCCAAAAAUUCCAUAAAAGUACUUUUUGUUCGUUUUGGAAUAUUUUAAAAUUAGGGAAAUAAUAAACAGUCGAAAAAGUGUACGAGGGAGCGACAAGCCUGGGGGCGCACCUACCGAACUUGUGGCUCCCCCGUGGACUUUCCUGACUCCAUUUUUCUUCCAUAUUGCUUGUUGAAAAAAAACAUUAUAUAUACUCCUGGAAGUUUUGACCACUGUAUCACAAGCUUCUCCUCUGUCCUUGUUUCAUGCUGAUUAUUGUCAGAUUUCCAGGACCAUGCAUCAUGUCUUCUUCCUCCUCCAACAACGUGGGAGACGAUGCUUUGUUGAUGCAGAUGGAACUCAAGAGAGAGGACGCUGAGGAGGUCACCAUGGAAGAAGAAGGAGAUUCGCUUGAGGUCCACCCUCCAACUUCGGAGAGAGGCAGUCUAGCUGGCAUCUCCACUACUCCCAACCCCCAUCGGGUUAUGGUAACGACAAGUAACCAAGUAAGCCAAGAGGUACAAGAAGGGCUUGCCCCUAGGAGGCCCUUACAUAGGUUAAAUUGGAACAACUUUCAUAAUUUGGCUCACAAUUAUGGGUUUGAGAAUACUCCUCGUAUGCACAUACCUUCCAAUUGGGACAUCUCUUGUCCAAGUGAAAGUGAUGCAGGAAAUAAUGCUUGGGGACCGAAGAACAAACUUAUUAUGUCCGAAGUGCAAAAGAAUGUUGAGAUCAUUCAUCAUGUGCUUCAGGAAAUUCAUAGUUUGAAGGAGAUCUUGAUGAACAUUAUGAAGGACAGGCCUACCACCUCAUCACCACCACCAUCACCGAAGAAGGAGAGUUGAGUACACGGGUAUGGGCACCACUCUUAGCUUGUGUGAAGCUUGGGGAGGUGCCCUAGUAUCGUAUCACCAUCACUUUUAUCAUCAUUACCUGUCUUAGUUUGAUCCUUAGUUAUUUUGUGAUUUAGAAGAAUAAAGUUUUAGUUCGAUCUAUUUUUGAGUGCUUGCCUAGUAAUCUAUCUAUGUAAUCGAGUGUGAGAGUUAUAUAAUAAAUAGUAGUUUGAGUUGAAUUGUUUUACUUUCUUGUUUCAAUCUAAAGGAAUAAAAAGAAUAAAAAGAUCAUAUGUUAAUCCCAUGGGAAGUGAUGACCUCACAUAAAAGAAGUAUAAUUGAUGAAAUUUGUUGAAAGUUAACAAACAUAGCAUUCUUCAUUGUUGCAAUCCAUGAAAAGUAAUAAAGAAAGAGAGCUCUCAUAUAUAAAUAUACUAUCUUGGACAUCUUUUAUGAUUGUGAGCCCCGUUCAAAUAUUCUAUGCCAAUUAGUUGACGUUGGACAAGGAAGACAACGUAAUGAGUUAUGUUUGCUUAUAUUCACAUAGAAGUUAUAUUGUCAUUGAUCCUCUAACAUGUGGUGCUUGCUCACUAUAUUUUGCUAGCCAAAAAUUCGCACCAAGUAGAGAUACUACUUGUGCAUCGAAAACCCUUAAACCCGGUUCAUGUCAUGAGAGUCCACUAUAUCUACCUAUGGAUUGAAUAAGGUGCUUCAAGUAAGUUGUCAUCCAAUAAAAUCCUAAAUAUGUAUGAUCUUUUAUUGUAAGGGAAAAUAAGCUUUGUGCGAACUUGUGAUCAUGAAAAAAUAAAAGAAACAGACUGCAUAAUAAAGGUUGCUAUCACAAGGGGCAAUAUAAAGUGGCGUUCCUUUACAUUAAGAGCUUGCACAUCCAAAAACAAAAAGUGCAUGACAACCUCUGGUUCCAUGUGCGAAGGGCAUAUCUUUUACUCUAUGUAUUUACUUUUUAUGCCAGAGUCAAUAGUGUUCCUCUCUAUUCCUCUUUAUUUUCUCUCUUGGCAAGCAUCAUGUGGUGAGAAAAGAUCUGGGCAUAUAUAUCUAGUUGAAUGUAGGUGAUCAUGAGUUAUUACUGUUGACAUUACCUUCGAGGUAAAUAAGUUAGGAGGCGAAACUAUAAGCCCCUAUCUCUUUAUGUGUCUGACUGAAACUUUUGCUCCAUAAAUAUGUCCUGAGUGUCGGCAAUCAUAGAAGAAUAAAUGAUAGUUGAUUAUGUGAACUUGCCAAACAAAGCUCUUACAUAUACUCUUUCUGAUAAUAUGAUAAAGUGAAAUUACUUCAGUGACCGAGAUCAUAGUUUAUUAGUUUUCAAUGAAGUUUAUGGUUCAUAAUUUGUCUUGUGAACAAAUUGUCACUUAUUCAUGAGAAGUUUUAUGAUGGUAUAUUGUUGUUAUAAUAGUGAUCAUGAUGCUUUCAUGCCCAUAUUUUGUUUUUAUCGACACCUCUCUCUCUCUAAACAUGUGGUCAUGAUUAUCGAGUUUGACUUUCGCUUGAGGACAAGCGAGGUCUAAGCUUGGGGGAGUUGAUACGUCCAUUUUGCAUCAUGUUUUCCCAUUGUUAUUUAUUAUGUUUUGGUUCAUUAUUUCACUUUAUGAUAUAAUUCUUAUGCCUUUUCUUUCUUAUUUUGCAAGUUUCACAUGAAUAGGGAGAUUGUCGGCAACUGGAAUUCUGGAUCGGAAAGGGCUACAGCAGAGAUAGCUAUUCUGCACAACUCCAAAUGACCUGAAAAUUUAUGGAGAAAUAUUUUUGAAUAUAUAAAAAAUAUUGGUGCAAGAAAUACCACCAGGGGACCCACUAGGAAACAACAAGCCUGGGGGGCGCCCCCGAGCUUGUGGCAACCCUGGCAGGCCUCCGGGGCCCAUCUUCUCCUAUAUGAAGCCAUUUUCCCUAAAAACAGAAGAAAUGUUUCGGGAGAAGCGCCGCCAUCUCGAGGCGGAACCUGGGCAGGAGCACUUUGCUCUGCGGCGGAGCGAUCCCGCUGGGGAAACUUCCCUCCGGGAGGGGGGAAUCGAAGCCAUCGUCAUCACCAACGAUCCUCUCAUCAUGGGAGGACCAAUCUUCAUCAACAUUUUCACCAGCACCAUCUCAUCUCAAACCCUAGUUCAUCUCUUGUAUUCUGUCUUUGUCCCAAAACCUCAGAUUGGUACCUAUGGGUUGCUAGUGGUGUUGAUUACAUCGUGUAGUUGAUGCUGGUUGGUUUAUUUGGUGGAAGAUUAUAUGUUCAGAUCCUUAAUGAUAUUCAAUACCCCUCUGAUCUUGAACAUGAAUAUGAUUUGUGAGUAGUUACUUUUGUUCUUGAGGACAUGGGAGAAGUCCGGUUAUAAGUAAUCAUGUGAAUUUGGUAUUCGUUCGAUAUUUUGAUGAUAUGUAUGUUGUUGCUUCCUGUAGUAGUGUCAUGUGAACAUCAACUACAUGGAACUUCACCAUACUUGGGCCUAAGGGAAGGCAUUGUGGUGUAGUAAUUAGAUGAUGAGUUUCUAGAGUGAUAUAAGCUUAAACCCUAGUUUAUGCGCUAUUCCGUAAGGGCUAAUUUGGAUCCAUAUGUUUCAUACUAUGGUUAGAUUUAUCUUAAUUCUUCUUUCAUAGUUGCCGAAGCUUGCGAGAGGGGGUAAUCAUAAGUGGGAGGCUCGUUCAAGUAAGAACAGCACCCAAGCACCGGUCCACCCACAUAUCAAAUUAUCAAAGUAGCGAACACAAAUCAAAUAAACAUGAUGAAAGUGACUAGAUGAAUUUCCAUGUGUCCUCAAGAAUGCUUUGCUUACUAUAAGAGAACGUUUCGGCCAGUCCUUCGCUAUAAAAAGGAUUGGGUUACCUUGUUGCACCUUUGUUACUAUUGCUACUUGUUACUUGUUACGAAUUACCUUGCUAUCAAACUAUUUGUUACCGAUAAUUUUAGUGCUUGCAGAGAAUAUCUUGCUAAAAAUCGCUUGUCAUUUCCUUCUGCUCCUCGUUGGAUUCGACACUCUUACUUAUCGAAAGGACUACAGUUGAUUCUCUAUACUUAUGGGGCAUCAAUGUACAUGGCUUAGUGGAUCGUUGUAACCUCAUGCUGUAAAAAGGACAUCGCGGGGAAGAAGAACAGUAAAUGCUUAAGUGGUGAGGAUAGUAUCAAGGGGUGGAGCGCCAUGUGGGGUGAUCUUGUCAAAUACCGGGGCGGAAACAACAGUCUAACCGAUUGUGGGGGCUCCGGCUCAGCGGUAUAAGGGUGUGUUUGGUUCAGAAAUGAGGUGGAAUGGAAUGUCAAGGUUCCAUUCCACUAGAAUGGGGUGGUUCUAUUCCUAUGUUUAGUUGGGAUAAUUAGGUGGAACGAUUUCAGUGUUUGAUUAGGGGAAUGGAACGGAAUGAAUUUAGUAAAACUUACCUCUUGCAUAAAAAUGGUGAGAUCUUCCUAUGAGAUUACCUUAUAGAACUAGAAUACUAUAUUAUCAACACAUUAUUAGAAUUACCAGCAAAAUUUCAAUUGUAUUACAGUUUAGAUGAUUUAUAAAUACAGUCACUAUAUAUAAGAAAUUAGUUGACCAUGGUUAGCUUGAGGUAGAGAAUGUUGGGAGGAUCACACCAUAAUGACACAACAUUAGUUGUUGAAUCUACAAAGAAUUGCCAUUACCAUAAAAUGGUUCAUACGGAUGUAGGUGUGGGUGGGCCACGGUGUGUUAUUAUUUUUUAUUUUUUAUUUUGGACCCACACGUGUUUAUUUUAUUUUAUUUGAGGAAACAAAUUUAGUAUAUUCAUUUUCAAUCAUGGCAGUAUAAUGAACAUCAAAAAUAUUAAAAAUUACAUCUAAAUCCGUAGACCACCUAGUAACGACUACAAGCACGGAAAUGAGCCGAAAGCGCGUUGUCGUCCUCGCCCCUCCCUCGUCGAAGCUGGGCAAAACUUGUUGUAGAAGUCGCACGACGUGUUAAUAUUGAUUGAAGCAGUUGAUCGAAUUUAUAAACGUGUUGUGCUAAUGGUGAUUAGCAUUGGUGUGGCUUUUUAAUACGUGCGUGUUGGACAGGGAAAUUUUGAGAAAAAUAUGAACUCCUAUAUCGACUACCAUCGGUAAAAAUGAACUCGAAAUAACUAUUUUAGUUAAAUGACAAAUAGGGUAUAUUAUAUAAAAGUUAUGAACUCUCAUUACAAACAUAUAAUAUCUAAUUCUGAGGCGCCAUAAUUCAAAACAAAAUUUGAAAACAGAUAUGUGCGUGAACUGCUAGAGGGCCCCGCUGGAUGAAUCAAGAUGGGCGACCAUUACCUGUACCAAGUCUGGUACUGCAUGCAACCAGGGGCGCCCCUGCGGGAGCUUAUACAGGAGCUCCUAACGGGCGCCUUCAGCGCCGGUUCCCGUUCUGGCGCCCACACGCCCGCUAACUGGGCCGGCCCAGCUUGCCUCGUUCGCUUGUUCCACUUCUGCUUGUUCGCUUCCCUCGCUCUCCUCGUUCAUUCUUCCUCGAUCACCUACUUCGCUCCUUGGAGUGGUCAAGUAUUGACUUUUGACCAAAAAAACAAAAAACGAAAAUUUUUGUCAAUUCAAGAAUUUUCAUAAAACUUGAAAUGAAGUCCAGGAACUUAUAAAAAGUUCACAAAUUUGAAAAAAAGUUCAUCAAUAAAGAAAAAUCGAUUUUGAAAAAAUGAAAAUCUUAAAUAUGCGAACAAAUGUUUCAAAAAUCAUAUGCAAAUUUCGAAUAUUCCAUUUAUUUUAAACCUGAACUAUGUUUUUCAAAAACUGAACAAAUUUCGAAUUUGGAUACUUUUUUUGUACUGUGAACAAUUUUUAGAAAGCGAAUUUAGAAUACACAUUGAACAUUUUCUUAGUACAGGGAGAACAUUAUUCAAAGAAACACUGAACAGUUUUUAAAAUAUGCUGAACUUUUUUUGAAUGCAUGCUGAACAAAAUUUCUCUACGCGAUGAACAUUUUUUAUACACAUUGAACAUUUUUUCAAUGUAUGGUGAACAAUAUUCAAAUAUACAUAGAACUUUUUUUAAAAUACGAUGAACACCUUUUGAAUGCAUGCUGAACAAAAUUUCUAUACAUGAUGAACAUUUUUUCAAUGUAUGGUGAAAUUUUUUCUUGAAUACAGUGAACAAAAAUUUGGAAUUCAGAACUAUUUUUGAAACGUGAACAAAAUUAAAAAACAUGAACAAAAUUUGGAAUUUGGAAAAACAUUUUCUGAAAAGUCAAACGAAUUUCGAAAAAUCUGAACAUAUUUUGGAUAUUGAAAGUAGUUUAUCGAUUUUGGAAAACUUUCAUCAAAUUCAAAAAAGUUCAUCGAUUUUUGAAAAAGUUCACCGAUUUUAAUAAAAGUUAAUUCAACUUGACAAAAGUGUAGGACUUUGAAAAAACGUUCGCGCAUUUAAGAAAAUAAAAAGGAAAGGAAAAAAGGAGCCAGAAAAAAGAAACGCCUAGAAAUCACGAAGCCGUGGAAAACUGGUUUGGGGGGCUCCCGCGGCCUAGGUAAAACAAACACCGGAAGAAGGCAAUAGACACAUGCAGUAGCAUGUCGUGCUGGUCAGUGCGCUGCUUUACCAACCGAGAGAUCGCGAGUUCGAUACCCCGCUUAGGCAAUUCGAUUUUUACUGCAGUUUUGAACCCCAAAAAUAAAAGACACGGGCCGGCCCAGCGCGGCGCUAGGGGUAUGCGCCCGUUUGCGGUUAGUGAAGAAACGUAAGCGCCCGUUAGGAAAUGCCCUCCUAUACAGCGCUGCAGGCGCCCGUUAACGAUCCGGCGCUGCAGUGCUGCUAGCAUGGGCCGGCCCACUAGCAUGCUGCCCUAAGUGUUUUUCAGUUUUUUUUACGAAAAAAAAUAUGAAAUGAAGAAAGGUUUACAGAUUUAAAGAAAAAAAGUUCAUCCAUUUGAAAAAAUAUAUUCAUAUCUUUAAAAAGGUUCAUAAAUUUUGAAAAAGUUCAUCAAUUUGAAAAAAUGUUCAUUCGAAUUGAAAAAAAAGUUCAUCCAAUUUAGAAAAAGUUCAUUAAAUUUAUAAAAAGUUCAUAGAAAUUGCAAAAAAGUUCAUGGAACUGAAAAAAAAAGUUCAUAAAUCAAAGACACGGGCCGGCCCAGCGCGGCGCUAGGGGUAUGCGCCCGUUUGCGGUUAGUGAAGAAACGGGCGCUUAAGGCGCCCGUUAGGAAAUGCCCUCCUAUACAGCGCUGCAGGCGCCCGUUAACGAUCCGGCGCCUGCAGUGCUGCUAGCAUGGGCCGGCCCACUAGCAUGCUGCCCUAAGUGUUUUUCAGUUUUUUUUACGAAAAAAAAUAUGAAAUGAAGAAAGGUUUACAGAUUUAAAGAAAAAAAAGUUCAUCCAUUUGAAAAAAUAUAUUCAUAUCUUUAAAAAGGUUCAUAAAUUUUGAAAAAUUUCAUCAAUUUGAAAAAAUGUUCAUUCGAAUUGAAAAAAAAGUUCAUCCAAUUUAGAAAAAGUUCAUUAAAUUUAUAAAAAGUUCAUAGAAAAUGCAAAAAAGUUCAUGGAACUGAAAAAAAAGUUCAUAAAUCAAAGACACGGGCCGGCCCAGCGCGGCGCUAGGGGUAUGCGCCCGUUUCGGUUAGUGAACAAACGGGCGCUUAAGGCGCCCGUUAGGAAUGCCCUCCUAUACAGCGCUGCAGGCGCCCGUUAACGAUCCGGCGCCUGCAGUGCUGCUAGCAUGGGCCGGCCCACUAGCAUGCUGCCCUAAGUGUUUUUCAGUUUUUUUUACGAAAAAAAUUAUGAAAUGAAGAAAGGUUUACAGAUUUAAAGAAAAAAAGUUCAUCCAUUUGAAAAAAUAUGUUCAUAUCUUUAAAAAGGUUCAUAAAUUUUGAAAAAGUUCAUCAAUUUGAAAAAAUGUUCAUUCGAAUUGAAAAAAAAGUUCAUCCAAUUUAGAAAAAGUUCAUUAAAUUUAUAAAAAGUUCAUAGAAAUUGCAAAAAAGUUCAUGGAACUGAAAAAAAAGUUCAUAAAUCAAAAAAAGUUCAUGGAAUAGAAAUUGCAAUUCGAUUUUUACUGCAGUUUUGAACCCCAAAAAUAAAAGACACGGGCCGGCCCAGUGCGGCGCUAGGGGUAUGCGCCCGUUUGCGGUUAGUGAAGAAAUGGGCGCUUAAGGCGCCCGUUAGGAAAUGCCCUCCUAUACAGCGCUGCAGGCGCCCGUUAACGAUCCGGCGCCUGCAGUGCUGCUAGCAUGGGCCGGCCAACUAGCAUGCUGCCCUAAGUGUUUUUCAGUUUUUUUUACGAAAAAAAAUAUGAAAUGAAGAAAGGUUUACAGAUUUAAAGAAAAAAAGUUCAUCCAUUUGAAAAAAUAUGUUCAUAUCUUUAAAAAAGUUCAUAAAUUUUGAAAAAGUUCAUCAAUUUGAAAAAAUGUUUAUUAGAAUUGAAAAAAAAGUUCAUCCAAUUUAGAAAAAGUUCAUUAAAUUUAUAAAAAGUUCAUAGAAAUUGCAAAAAAGUUCAUGGAACUGAAAAAAAAAGUUCAUAAAUCAAAAAAAGUUCAUCCAUUUCAAGUCAAAUGUUCAUUAAAUUUCGGAAAAGUUCAUCAAUAUUCAAAAAAGUUCAUCAAUCUUAAAAAAGUUCACAGAAUUUUCAAAAAAAAAUCGUCAGCCGGCGCCUAGAUGGGCCGGCCCAUUUACAGACGCCACAGGCGCCAGUUGACAAAAAUGCACGUUAACUGGCGCCUGCGGCGCCAAAUAGGAAAUGCCCGCCCCUGCGGUCUGGCAGCAUAUCCUAUUUGGCGCUUCAGACGCCUGUUAUAGCCCAUUUUGCAAGCGGUCGCCUGAAGCACACCCCUACUGUCAGUUGGGCAGGCCUGUUUUGACUUUUUUUCUUUAUUUUCCUGUUAAAGAUCAAAAAGGGUGUGGCCGCAAGGUUUGAGCUAAGGACCUUUCUGUUUAGAGUAUAGCAGUAACAACUAGGCCAACUCGAUCGAUUGGGCUAAACCACUUUUUUUCUCUCUUUUAUCCUCUUCAGUUAGCGGAACUUUUUUCUUUUUCUUUUCUUUUUUCAUGGAAUGAUUUUGUUCAGUAUUUUCUUUCAUUUUCCUUUUUUGCUAAAUGUGUGAACUUUUUCUUCAAAUUAGGUUUAUAUCGAUGAGUUUUUUUUCAAAAUACGGAAUAGAUUAACUUUUUUCAAAAAUUGAUGAAUUUUUUUUCAAAGUUGAUGAGCUUCUUUCAAAAUUCAUGAACUUUCUACACAAUAAAUGACUUUUAAAUUAGAUGCUUUUUUGUUUUUCAAAUCAGAUGAACUUAUUUUCAGAAUAGAUGAACCUUUUUCAAAUUUGAUGAAUUUUUUUAUAAUUUGAUUAACUUUUUUUCUUAAAUUGCAUGAACUUCUUCCAAAUUCGUGAACUUUUUCAAAUUCGAUGACCUUUUUUCAAUUUGAUGAAAAAAUUCAAAUUGGUGAACUAUUACCUUUUUGCAAACUUUUUCAAUUGGUACCACCUUUUUUUUUAAUGAUUAUUUUUAAUUGUGAUUUUUGUGAAUGAUUUUUCAAAUUUAUGUUUUCUUUUAUUCAAGUAAUUUAUACCAGGUAUAUAAUACUACUAAAUGUUUUUAAGUUUUGUACUGACAGAAGGGUCAAAUAGCAUUUCCUCUAGUAAUCAACAGACUGAGUUCCGUCGGGUGGUUAACGUGUUAGGUAUUGACUUUGGCUGCGGGAGUUAGAUAACCACCCCGCCUGAUAUACCUGAAGCUUUUUCCUUGUCGUGGUGCGAGCAAAUGAUUUGGGGCCACGUCCCAGUACGGUCGUCUGUGAGCGCCAGCCAUAGUUUAAAAAACCGGACCGAACCACCGGUCGAACCAGAAAAAAUCGGAACCGAUGCUCGUGUCGGGUUUUUAAGCACAAAAGACUGACCUACAAUUAGACCGGUGAGAACCAGUCAAAUCGGCCGUUUUUUGGUGAAACCGGUUGAUAAACUGUGCGGGCGAACCGGUAUAGGGAGAAAUUCAGAAAAAUAUUCCUACAGGUAGUGGGAUUUGAUCCAGGCAUGGGCAUUGUCCUAUCCUAGGGUAGAUAACCACCUCAACAACGCUUCUGUGUUGUCUAAUAGAGGAAACCAUUGCAUUUAACCUAAAUUUGCAUAUAUUAUUACUCUAAAUAUAUAUUUUUUUAACUGUAAAAUCCAGUAAUCAAACCGGUGAACCAGCGGUCCGACCAGUAAAAACCUGAACCUAAUGCCUUAUCGGUUCGAUCACUGGUUUGGUUUUUAAACUAUGGUCCUAGCGCGCGUAACAGGCGCAAAAUACGCUGAUUAGGUCUCACUUAAUACGCUGAUUAGAGCACGUAUUAAGGUCUCGCCGAAUACGCUGAUUAGGUCUCGCUUAAUACGCUGAAUAGGAGGUCCCCUAUUUUCGUCUCGCUGAUUUUUUUCAGCGAGACGAAAGCUCCCUCAAAAAAAUCAGCAAGACGAAAAUAGUGAACCUCCUAUGUUGACGCAUUUUGCGUCAAACAGCAGCUCGACGCACAGGGGUGACGCUUGACUGGGCCGGCCCACCAACCCCAUCCGACAAAAAGAGCUGAAAACCAGCAGCGAGUAGCAGGAAUUGAUCCCAUGACAUCAGACUCCAACCACGAGCCAUUAGCCACUACAAUACACACCACCAUCUGAAGAUAAAAAGUGCAAAAAUAUAUAAGAACAGACAGCAGCGUUGAGAUUUGGGAAACAUUUUGAAAAUAUUUCUUGAAAAUUGCGAGCAGUUUCAAAAUGCCGCUUUUUUCGUAUUCCAUCUUUUUGGAAAAGUGAAGAUGUUUUUUAAUUCUGAUUUAAAAAUGAAACAUGAACAAAAUUUGCAAACCCCAAACAGAUUUCAAAACACGAACAAUUUUCAAAAAUGUUUCUGAAAAACAAACAAAUUACGAAAAACACGAACAUCUUUUGAUAUCACGAACAUUUUUUAGUUUUUUUAAAAAUGGAAAGCAGGACAUUUUUUUAAUUCAGCACCAAAAAAAUUAAAACAGGAACUUUUUUUAAAAUGCGAACAAUAUUUGUAUUGUGCGCUUUUUUGGAAACGUGAACAAAAUUUUAAACAUGGGAAUAUUUGUUGAAAUUGUGAAUGUUUUUUCAAAAAUGAACAUUUUUCUAAAAUGGUGAACAAACUUUCAAAACAAGAAUAUUAUUUUAAAUUCCUGAACAUUUUUUUAACAUGAACAAAUUUCUAGAACUAUGAAAACUUUGAAAACAAGAACAUUUUUUGAAAUUGUGAACAAAUUUUAUAAAUAAGAUUUUCUGAAAUUAUGAACGGAUUCUGAAAAUGAUAAUUGUUUUUGAAAUUCAUGUAGAUGUUUUUAAGCAUGAACAUUUUUUGAAAAUGUAAAUAAUUUUUAAAGGAAGAACAUUUUUUUAUAAUUUCAACAAAAGCGUUUAUUUUAAAUCAGGAACAUGUUUUGAAAAUCAUAAACAUUUUUUAACGCACAAACAUUUUUUGGAAAGUUAUGAUUAUUUUGAACAAAAGCAUUUGCAACAAUUUAUGAAAACAAGAACAUUUUUUGGAUUUAUGAACAUUUUUUGAAAAGCGACCAUUUUUGAAAUUUCGAAUAUUUUUUAAAGGCAAGAACAUUUUUCUAAAUAGAAGAAAAAUUUCCGAACAUGAACUUAGUUUAAAAAAUAUAAAAUAACCUUGAAAAGGAAAAAAACAGAAAAUGAAAAAAAAGAAGAAAAGAAACAGAAACAGAAACAAAAAACAAAAGAAAACAGAAAAACCAAUAACAAAACAAAAAACCGGUUCAGGGAACCUUCUAGAUGGUUCCCAAAACCGGCUGGCUAGGUGCGACUGUACGCGCAAUAACUGGGCCAGCCCAUCGCGUUAAACCACUUGACCAACCACAGUUUGUUGAAAGCAGGAGGAAAUAGCUCUAUUUGACUCUCUCACCAUAAAUAUUAAACAUAUAGUACUAUUAUCUAUCGGCUAUAAAUUAUUGAAUAAAGAAAAUAUAAAUUUGCAAAGGCAUUCACAAAAACCACGAAUUGAUAGGAAUCAAAAUUUUGAAAAGGUUUGUACCAAUUGAAAAAGUUCGCAAAAAUGGAAAAAGUUCAGUGAAUUUGAAAAGAAGUUCACAGAAUCUGAAAAAAAUUCACCGAUUCUGAAAAAAGGUCAUCAAUUUCAAUAAAAAAAGUUCAUCAAGUCUGAAAAAAAUUUCAUCAAUUUGAAAAUAGUUCAUCAGAUUUGGAAAAAGUUCAUCUAAAUUGGAAAAAGUUCAUCGAUUUUGAGAAAAAGUUCAAACAAAAUGAAGAAGUUCAUCUAAUUUGAAAAAUAAGUUAAUCGAUUUUGAAAAAGGUUCAUAAUUUUCUUUUAAACAUUCAUGAGUUUAAAAAAAUCAGUUCAUGGAUUUUGAAAAGAAGUUCAUCUAUUUGAAGAAAACAAUUACGGAUUUGGAAAAAGAAAAAAAGAAAAGGACAGUGAAAAAAGAAAAACGGAAAAACGGAAAACAGGAAUGGAGAAAUGGAUGAAAAGCGUGUACUGGCGCGGAAUUUUUGCACCUUUCUUCAGAGUUUAGAAAACAGAAGAAAAAUAAAUAUGGGCCGGCCCACGAGUAGUUGCUUGGCUAGAAGGACGGGGUGAUUCAUCGUCAAAUGCUAGAGAAGAGGAAGCUUGGGGCCGUCUAUGGCAGCUGAAAGUCCCAUCAAAGAUCAGAGUUUUUCUGUGGCGUCUCGCUCGACACUCCAUACCAACUACGGAUGUCCUACACAGACGAAACAUGGCGACGCAAAGUGCGUGUCCGCUGUGUGGAUGCCAAGACUCGUGGAGACAUGCUCUACUGUCAUGCACUAUGUCGAGGUGCAUCUGGGCCUUGUCGGAUGAAACACUUGUGUCGCAGAUAACAGGGAACGAGGAACCUCAUGCAAAGAACUGGUUGUUUGAACUCCAUGAGACACUAGACCACGUGAGCUUCACGAGAAUGGUCGUUACUCUAUGGGCUGUUUGGUACGCGAGGCGGAAGGCAAUUUAUGAACAUUUGUUCCAAAACCCUCACCAGACAGUAUCUUUAGUAGACUCUUAUCUUCAGGAGCUACAACAAAUCCCGACUGCUAAACAAACUGUGCAAGUACGUGAAGUUUCAGGGCAGCAGCGACGUUGGAACCCAUCUCCAGCUGGGAUUGUUAAAAUCAAUGUUGAUGGUGCACUGGCAAGGCAUAAGCGACUGGGAGUGGCUGCUGCAGUCUGCCGAGACUCCAACGGUAAUUUUCUGGGCUCGUCAGCAGUUGUCUUUAAAGGAAUUAGAGACCCUCUUAUUUUGGAAACAUAUGCGUGCCGAGAAGCCCUAUCUUUGGCGGAGGAUCUCUACGAGCAAGAUAUCAUGGUAGCUUCAGACUGCCAAGGUGUGGCGCAAGAUAUCAAUGAAGGCACAGGGGGUGUCAAUGGGGCUGUUAUACAUGAAAUAAUAGACCGUAGAGCGAGUUUCUCUUCUUGCUCGUUUGUUUCCGAGCGAAGGAACAAUAACUUCAAGGCUCAUAAUCUUGCUAAAUUCGCUUGUAAUUUAGAUAUAGGGAGGCAUAUUUGGUUGGGCACUCCUCAUGACCCAAACCGUGUACCUAUGAACAUUGUUUUGAAUCAAUAAAGCGAGCGAGUUUUCUCAAAAGAAAAGGUACGAACCGGCGCCUGCAGAGCUGAAUAGAAAGCGCCCGAAAAUAGCUCUCGCAUAAAGAUAUAGUCGCUGCGUGCAAGCAGGGCCAGAUUGCUAGCCGGUGAGGUACUGGAAGGGCGAGCGACUCGACGGGCAAAUGGAAAAAAAUCCAGGACCAAGAGUUUCCCAGUACGCGAGCACUUGUGUGGAAUACUUCCUUGUGUAUCUGAGACAGAAAAUCCCUAUACAAGAUGACAUAAAUGCAGUUUGUUGAUCCAUAGGCGCCGUGCACUGAAGGAGCUUUUCACUAGGCCUGGACUACAUCCAGCCUUCGGCUCCAUCAAAACUACUCCCUCCAUUCAUAAAUAUAAGUCUUUGUAAAGAUUUCACUAUAGACUACAUACAGAGCAAAAUUAGUGAAUCUACACUUAAAAUGCAUCUAUAUACAUCUGUAUGUGGUUCAUAGUGAUAUCUCUACAAAGACUUAUAUUCCCUCCAUCCGGAAAUAUUUGUCCUAAAAAUGAAUAAAAUGGAUGUAUCUAUAACUAAAAUAAGUCUAGAUACAACCAUUUCAAGGACAAGUAUUUCCGGACGGAGGGAGUAUUUAGGACGGAGGGAGUAGUUAUCAGGUCAUUUAGGAAGCACCACAGUUUGCAUAAUUUCAGGACGUGCUAUUGACUUCAAUAUAGGCUGAAAUUCUAUCUACAGCUCAAUAAUACGUACAUACUCCCUCCAUCCGGAAAUACUCAUCGGAGAAAUACAUAAAAAUGGAUGUAUCUAAAACUAAAAUACAUCUAGAUACAUCCAUUCCUCCGACAAAUAUUUCUGGACGGAGGGAGUACAUUGAUUCUUGCGUAUAUACAAACAAUGCGGUGCAUUACAAACAAGUAUUACAACAGACAGCGGGAACCAUGGCUAGCGACUGUAGAUGAAAUAGGGCACGCGAUGGCAGCUGCUAUCCAGAGGCAGCUCCAAUGGUAUUCUCUAUGUGCCGCUUACAUAUGUAUAUUUUGCAACAAUGCCCCUCAGAGGAAGAAGGGAAAGCCCUUCUGUGAUUGUGGCUUGGUGCACUCUGAAUUGGCCCAUCCGAUCUGCCUCCGCUCAUUGUCAUACACAACUAGUUUGCCGCGCAGAGAAACAUCUGAAUGGAGAACCAAGAAAUGAACAUUGCAAGUUUGACGUAAUUAAUCGUGUCACUGCACAGCAAGAUUAGCGAUUGGGGGGUAAGAGAAGAAUCUAUACCUCCGACAAUUAUGGUUGACCCAUGAUUGAUCUCUGUUCCAUUUAGCAGCCCCAGACAAACAUUGCCCUUUUCCUGGAACAAGUCGAGCAAGCAGCCAAGCACAAUAAACAUAAGCAUGAGUUCUCAGCAUGGAACUCGUGUUAGAGAUUCAGAUCGAUGUUACAAGACCUAACAGAAUUUUAUGGAAAAUACAUAGAAGACUUACACUGAUAAUCAAGUAAUCAUCGGGAACAAUGGUGAAUGUUUUCGGCACGACAAACCAUCUUCUCCCAAAAUGAAGGUUCAAGGGCUUGAAGAAGGACCUGGAAAUCCCGAUAUGAUUAGAAAAAGAGAAAGUAGUUCUUUUUUACGGGGGCUUGCCUGUCGAACUUCCGCCCCUAAAAGAGACAUCUUAUAGGAGUAUUACCUAACAGAAAAAUCAGCUUUCCAGCAUAGAGGUAAUGUCGUAUCUGAGCUAUCCUGGACAAAACUGGGAGAGUCAUCCUUAAUCUGAGAUGUUACAAGACAAAGUUAGUAAAUGAAAUUGGAUAACUUCACCCAAACGAAUAAUUAAUGAGACUUACAGCAUCAAUAAGGUUUUUAUACAUUUCCUCUGGAAGGUAUGUAUAUGAGCUCCCGCUAUCAAAAAUCACUUGAACAGAAUUUCCUGCGUGCCCAUGCAUGCUGAGCUCCUGAUCUCCAUAAUUUACUUUCUGGGCUUCUGUGUGGUAUAAGUUGCUGACAAUAUUGAAAACCAAAAUCAUCAAAGAACAGCGCAAGGUUUUCAAGGAUUAUUGCAACAAAAAUACAAUUUCAUUGUGUGUGUGAUUUAGGAGCCAAAGAAAAAUGCUAAUAAUGGCAGUGCAUGCAGUUAAACUUUUGAAAAGGAGGAUGCAACUUACUCUGGACCACCUCGAAUAGGAGCCCAUGUCAUUCCCCAUCUUGGUACAUAAUCAUCACCCAGAAACAUGUACCCCCCACCAUUUGUUUCUCUAGUGAUACAAUGACCGAAAAUGUUGGAAAUAAUUCCUUUGCUGGCCAGCUGACUAGGAAGGCUUAUUGCUGCACUGCUAAGACCAAGAAUCCCAUCGGUCUUUGCUGGUGAGGACAAAAGCUGGCCUUGCUGAUCAUAUGCACACCUAUUUGGUAGAUAAAAACCAGUAAGAUACUUAGAUCAUUUAAAAGCAUUUGCUCUAAUGUAUCAGGAAUGUGCAAAAGGGUCAUCUCCUAAAAGGUCUAACCGUACCCAAAUACAAAGUCUAGCUUUUCCCUUCCACCAUUUGUAGCGAUUAGAUGCAUAUCAUCCUUUGCAAGAACACCCAUAGACGAGCUUCUAUCGGCAUAUUCAAUCUCAUAAUCACAUUGCUUGCAAGUUUCGCAGUAGUUCUGAUCGCCUUGCAACUCUUGACAUAGCAAAUCCCUGGGAGGGACUAUCUUUUCUUUUGCUGGCUUAUAUAAAGGAUGAGGUCCCUUCAAUUGCGGUACAUAUUUUUUUAGAGCAGUUGAAUAAACUUGGAUAGAAUAACGCGGCUAAUCACAAACUGAUAUACUCAAACAUCCAGAUUUGUUAAAUUUCUUACUUGGGCACAGUUUGUGCAUGGUGCAUCACACUGAAUCCAUGUUAAAUCACUUCCAGUAUCAACAUCAAGGAAAUAAGGUCUUGGUGGAUUGCCAACAAAGAUAGAUGUGUAAUACUGCCUGCAAUCGGGGUAAGAUAAUAUUAGCCUCAACAGCUGCAGACCCAGCUUUAUAGAAAUCUAAAAUAAGCAGCGCAUGGCUUACUAUCAGACACAUUAGCAUAAAUAGUACGCCUUUUAUGGAUAGAGAACAGUCCAUCGAAUAUAGAGAUUAUUCUGGUAAAUAGGCUAUAAAUAUAUCAGACACAUUAGCAUAAAUAGUAGCCUUAACUAAAAAUGACAGAUCCUCAGACCUUAAGAACUGUCUGCUUAUGACCUUGGGAGCAGAAUUGCAUUUCUGGAACAUAAAAGGACUUUCUAGCUUUGAUGUAUAUACUCAUUACAGCCUACACCAGUACAACUAAACUAACUACACCUUAAGUUCUUCAUAUAUGUACAAAUAACUUUGAAAAAAAACCGUUGGAUGAAGUCGAUCAGACGGUAGAGGUGGCCAAUCCGAGUGAGGUUGACCAUUGGAUAUUCUCUUUACUACACCAGAUUCUGCCAUGUGUACUACCUAGAAGAUUCUAUGGCUGGGCUUAAGCCCUAUAGACAUUUUGCACAAAACUUAAACACACUUCUACUUUGCUCUAGACUCUUCCAUAUCUAGACUCUCUUAACUUCUUUUCUAUCUAACUAUCAUCCAUUUUUACUUGUGGCUAUGGAUGUACCUUCAUAAAUCAUACUCCUACUUAUCUUUCCAGAUACAGAAGUAGCUAUUCUUAUUAUUUUAAUAUGAUAUACCCAAAAAUACACCUAGACAAAACACACUGGAUAUAUUUUACCUGGGUUUUGCAUCUUAUACUUCAUGCAUAUGCCUAAAAUAAGUUCAUCUGUCUAUCAUAAUAAAAAGUAACAAUAUACCGAUCUUAGGUUGUAAUUUGAUUAUCUUAACUCUCACAUGGCAAUGGACGUAUAAUUUACUAGUAUAUGGAACAGAAAUGUGCAAUUUGAUGAAAGCCAAACUUCUAACCUGUUUUAGUACUUACUAAAUCCAAAUAUCAUAACAUCACCCAAACAUUUUCUUGGGAUCAGAUUGAACCCAAUUUUGUGAUAUAAAAGCAUUAAGAGGGAUCUAAAUUCUAAAAGUUCGCUUUGUCCAUCCAGUCCCAAAGAGGGAUCUAACCUGUUUUAGUACAUCUGAUCAUCAAAAGCACCCCCACCCCCCCUUCUUGAAAUUGAAUCAUAAGGCAACGGAGUAAAAUUUACUCUUAGAGUCAAAUCAAACUUGUGAAGAAUUGGUACGCACCCAUCAGGGAACACAUUGCCCUUGAUCGGGAGCAGAACCGUGGAGUUGGUCCCAGCCGAUGUCGCCCCCUUGACAUCCAGCUUCUUCGUGAUCUUCCUGCCGCCGCCGUCAUCGACCCUCUUGGCAGCGAGCUUGAUGUCGCCGAAUUCCCGCAGCGCGCGGCCCUGGUGCGCCUUGGGGGCCUUGGGGUAGAGCUGGAACAGGAACGACUUGGUCUCGUUCCGCUCCUUCUGCGCCUCCUCCUCCUCCAUCCCAAGGAACUGCACGGCCACGUCCGAGUAGAAGCUGUAGUAGGCCGCGAGCGCGAGCGCGCCCAGCACGAGGACCAUCGCGCCCGCCCGCCGCGAGACCGCCCGCCUCGAUCGCCUGGCCUCCCUCCCCGCGGCAGCCAUCGGAGGCCCCCGAUGCGGCGGCGGGGCCGGAGCGCCAGCGCCCGGCUCGUCGGUGUAGGUGAAGGCGGUGAUGGUCUUGCCCUUGGAGGACUGGUCGGGGGGCGGGAGGGUGAUGAUGACCACGCCGUGGAGCUGCGGGGGCUCCGGCGGCGGGGGAGGGGGCGGCGGCGGCGGCAUCGGCAUCUCCGGUCGGGAUCCCGGCGGCGCUCCGGCGGGGCGGGGUCAGAGGCGGCGGGGAGGGAAGGCCAUCGGGGGCAAGUGAUGAGGAAACUGGCUGGGGGAAGGGGGGAUGGUUUUGGUGAGCUCGGCGGACUGUGAUUGGUUCGUUGACUUGACUUUUUGCACAGAAGGGCAUGAUUGGAAUUUCUCGGCAGAUAAUUCUUGGAGCUGCCAUGAUUUUUGUUAACGUUGGCGACGCGCAUUGGCUUACGCACGGGAGUGAACAUUGUUUCUGAAUAAUAAUAAUAAUAAUCGCAGGUGACAUGUGCGUUUAUAUAAGUUGCCGAAAGUUUAGCGAUGAGACCAAAACCAUGUGCUGCAAAUACUGCUUAGUGCCAAGAAGAAGGAAAACAGAGCGAGCCUACGUUGCAAUGUUGAACUAGGAAAGUUCAUAAUUAUAAAAAUCAGGACGUGGACGUGUAGAUGUAACAUGGGCCAUGUUCGAGUGUUGUUAAUGUGGCAUCGCAAGGCGUGUUCCAAGAAUAGGAAGACCUUGAAUUGUAGCCCCUCCAAUCUGACCUCUUCUUUGUGCAUUUUAAUAUUUUCGUUUUUUUGUUCAGAACGAUACACACGAAGCGUUAGGAGGAGGUCUCACGAGGCGACUAGAAACGCUAGCCACCAAAUAUGGCCCCUCUCACCACCGCCAGAGUCCGUUGCCGGGGCAAAGCCGGCAUGGUGCGGGCAGCGGGCGGCGAGGUUCUGAUCGCGGGGAGCUUGGUGGACCGGUGGUUGGUGAGCUGCUGUGGCGUGCGCCUGUUGAUGCUACCGCGAGGAGUGUGUUGACAGGGUCUAGUUUUUGAAACUUAUUAGAAAAUUAUUCAUAAUUCUCAUAGUUAGAUGUAUAGGCCGUACAUGCUUCCUACCAUAGUGAUCAAGGAGAUGGAGCAACACGAGCAAUCUUACGGGGGACAGGUAUGGAAUUUUAUUGCCGCAUCAUGUUCAUUUGUCCCCUAUGCUUAGUCGCUGAUGAUGGAGUCAUUGGCAUGAAAGAAGGAUUACCUUUGGCGUCUUCUUUAGGCUUCCAACAUAUUGUGACGGAAUCGGACUGUUUAGAAGUAAUUGAUGCUUGUGGUGAAGGAAGAACAUCAGUGACGGAGCUAGCCGAAGAUCAUUGGGGGGGCGAAACAAAAAUNNNNNNNNNNNNNNNNNNNNNNNNNNNNNNNNNNNNNNNNNNNNNNNNNNNNNNNNNNNNNNNNNNNNNNNNNNNNNNNNNNNNNNNNNNNNNNNNNNNNNNNNNNNNNNNNNNNNNNNNNNNNNNNNNNNNNNNNNNNNNNNNNNNNNNNNNNNNNNNNNNNNNNNNNNNNNNNNNNNNNNNNNNNNNNNNNNNNNNNNNNNNNNNAAGAGUCUAAUCUAAGCCUUUCUAAAUAAUUUUUCUUCAGCAAUUGAUCAAAGGCUGGGGGGCAGCGGCCCCCCGGCCCCAACAUAGCUCCGCCAUUGAAGAACAUGGUGUCAUGAAGGAGCUACAGUGUUUACGGACUGCGUUGAUUUGAUCGUGGAGAUAGGCAAUGCGCAGCUUACUCAUUGUCAUCGGAAGGCCAAUGAAGUCGCACAUGAAAUUGCAAGCAUAGCUAUGAGAACUAUCAUUCUCAAAACAUAACAAAAAAAAUUUAUGAGAACUAUUGGGUAGAUGAUUCUCCAUCUUUUAUUAAUGUGUCUUUUGUGAACAAUGUAAGUGUUCUUAUUUGAUCAAAAAAGAUGUAUCGCCCGUCGAUAUGCUGUUCAGGUUUUGCAUGCGGAAAUAAGUGUAGCCUCGUAACCUUCUUUUGCUGUGGAAAAAGUCUAAAACAAACCUUAAACUUGUAGACGAAAGCUAAAUCAAAACCUGAACUUGUAAUCCCGGAAAUCCGCACACCGAACUCUUCAAUCCCGGUCUAUUUUAAACCUUGAAGGUAUUUAAAUGGUAUUUGCUGACGUGGCAAGGGCUGGGUGGACACUAGGACGAAUUGGGCUGGCCCGUUAGCACAAUCGCUCGCUUGCUCUACCCUGUUUAGCUUUUUCGUUUUUCUUUCUUUGUUUUUUCAUUUUUGUAAAGAUAAUAAAUUCUAGUUUACAUUUUCGUAAUCACAAUACACACCUUUUAGAACUACACGUACCCACUUUGUCUUCCCCUAAGGGGUACUCACUUGUCUUAGGAGUGACAAAAAAUACCUUCAAGAACAUGGUGUCAUGAAGGAGCUACAGUGUUUACGGACUGCGUUGAUUUGAUCGUGGAGAUAGGCAAUGCGCAGCUUACUCAUUGUCAUCGGAAGGCCAAUGAAGUCGCACAUGAAAUUGCAAGCAUAGCUACGAGAACUAUCAUUCUCAAAACAUAACAAAAAAAAUUUAUGAGAACUAUUGGGUAGAUGAUUCUCCAUCUUUUAUUAAUGUGUCUUUUGUGAACAAUGUAAGUGUUCUUAUUUGAUCAAAAAAGAUGUAUCGCCCGUCGAUAUGCUGUUCAGGUUUUGCAUGCGGAAAUAAGUGUAGCCUCGUAACCUUCUUUUGCUGUGGAAAAAGUCUAAAACAAACCUUAAACUUGUAGACGAAAGCUAAAUCAAAACCUGAACUUGUAAUCCCGGAAAUCCGCACACCGAACUCUUCAAUCCCGGUCUAUUUUAAACCUUGAAGGUAUUUAAAUGGUAUUUGCUGACGUGGCAAGGGCUGGGUGGACACUAGGACGAAUUGGGCUGGCCCGUUAGCACAAUCGCUCGCUUGCUCUACCCUGUUUAGCUUUUUCGUUUUUCUUUCUUUGUUUUUUCAUUUUUGUAAAGAUAAUAAAUUCUAGUUUACAUUUUCGUAAUCACAAUACACACCUUUUAGAACUACACGUACCCACUUUGUCUUCCCCUAAGGGGUACUCACUUGUCUUAGGAGUGACAAAAAAUACCAGCAGACGCAUAAAUAAGUUACACGUAGGAGGACUUGAACUCAGGAUAACACACUAGCAAAGACCCGCACCUAACCAGUAACCCCGACGGCUGCUAGCGAUUAUAGACAGGGCUUCGUUUUAAAAAAACUAACAGAAGCGUUCAUAUAUGAAAACAUUCCUGGUUUUUUUAAAUUUUUCUGAAACAAAAUGUGAACAAUUUUGAAAUACCCAUUAUAAUGUUUUAACGCAAAUAAUUCAAGAAAUUCCAUUUUUUUCAAAUGUGACACGGUAACUUUUUUCCAAACACGUGUAUUACAUUUUCUUAAUGAUAAUAAAGAUUUUGCAAAAUUAUAGAACGUUUUAUUUCAUUGCGUAAUUUUUUUUAAAAAAUCAGGUAUGAACAUAAUUCCCCCAAAAAACAAAAAAAAAGAACAAAAAACUGAUUGUGUUUUAAAAGAUGGUUCUUUUGUCAAAAGUAUUCGGAAUUUGAUGUAAAAGUUCGCACUUUAAAAAAUGUUCGGCCAUUUAAACAAAAUACGUUUAAAAAAAUUGCUCUAAAAAAUGUUUUCAAUGCCGACUUUGCGGUCUGUUAUUAACUAUGUUGAGCUUCGAAUUAUAUAUCACUAACAGACACGUACUCAGGUGGCUGGCAGGUGGGGGGCAGCAGCGCCUAGUCGCAAGUUCAAUACCCCGAAGUGUCUACUUUUGUUUUCAAGUCGCGCCUUAUAGAAACGAAUUGAAGAAAAGCAUUACUUCACGCCCGAUGGGCCGGCCCAAUCGCGUCUGCAGCCAACAAUCCUGGUAUUUGAUCUGCCACGUCCACAAUCCCUGUUUGGGAACGUUUUCAGGGUUUAAAACAGACCGGGAUUAAAGAAUUUGGUGUGCUGAUUCCCGGAUUUUAAGUUAAGGGUUUGAUUUGACUUUUGCCUACAAGUUUAAGGUUUAUUUUAAACUUUUUCCUUUUGCUGUAGACCGCCCGGUCACCCUGGCACGGUGGGAGCUAGUUAGUUCUAUUCAUUUUUUACCACAUGUGACAAAGUGACUCCUAAAGAGCUAAACUGGUGACAGUUUUCAGGCUUGCCUUAUUGAUUCUUCUUGGCCGAUCUCGACGAGCUAUCGGACAGUGAAUUUUUUUGUUUCUGCGAAGCAUAUACAGUCCGAAAAAACUUGUCCCUCAAAUUGGUGCUAGACACAUCCAUUUGAAGGAGGACAAGCUUUUUCGGACAAAGGGAGUACGUGCUAUGAUGAUAAUUUGUUGGUUGUGUGACUUGGCAUAUUUCAGCAAGAGAAACGCAAAGGUAGAAUUUGGGUUAAGAUGUUGAUGGCAGCAUGCCUGCCUCAAUUACGAUGAUCUGAGUUCUUUUUUUAGAAAGGAAGAGGGAAGACCCUCUAUAUUGAGGGAUGCACACAAGCAUAUAUUAUCGAUUAUUGAUAAUAUCAAACAAAUCAGCUUACAAAGAGGAACAUCAUAAAAAUUGAGUCCACCCAUAGGACAUGGGACAUGCCUCACAGCAUCUCCAUGUCAUACCACCAAACCUACCACAAUAUAUUAGAAGAAAAAGGAUGCAAAGCUCCAAGACAACGACUUCAAGAAGGAAUCGCGGCUGUUGGUUGGUCCAAACAGAUGUGUCGGACCAAUGGGAUAUCACCCUUGAAGGGGUCGAAACACUUUCAAUAAGGUAACAACAUAGGCAAUUCAAUAAGGUAACAACAUUGACAUUGCAUGAUGAAGCAACAAAGCAAGAUCCUGAGUUUUCACCCGAAGAAAAUACAUCCACGAUGUUUGUCGCCAUAGUCAGCACCCACCACUCUACCUGUUCACACGGAACUAGCCGGCCAAAGGAAAAAAAUGAAAAUUACCAAAAGUAAAGGCGUUGUCACGUCGCUUACCAUCAUUACCGCACCAUCAUCUCAAUUGAUGGUUGUUGUAUGGUAGCCGUCAUCAUGAAAUGCACCAUCUCGACAACUAUCAUCGGUAGCAGUGGGAGAGGGUUGCGCCUCGCACAACCACCCGAUGUGACCAACCCAAUGCCCGAUGCAUCGCGCCAAAUCCAUCUGAUCUGGCAAACCUCACCACCACCUAGCUACACCAACCCAUGUGCCACCGCAUCUGAUCACACACAUAGGAAUGUCAAAUAUGCCUCUGACCAUCACCGACGAGACAACCCUCCCCUAGGCAACGACGACAGUUGUUCUGCUCGUUCACCGCUGCCGGUCACAUCACCUCACACUCGACGCACUAUCGAACCCGACUAUGGCUAUAGUAAUCUUCGCACGACCUCGCCAAUCACCAACGGCGCUUUGACCUCUUCAACCACACCGUCAUUGGGGACGAGAGGGCACAAGUGCCCGCACAACCUUUGGCCUAUGCAUCGACGGCCACCCACCUGGCCCGGCGCAUCUUGAUAGAAAGCUUUAGCAAACAAAAUGUUAUAGGGAGAUUAUGCAAGCAAGUGAUCCAACUUUGCCUUGUGCCCCUAUAGUCAGUGGGCCCAUUUUGUGCCUUCCUUCUAAGAAGAGUGAGCUAUCCAAUCCUCUAGCCCUUUCUGUGGCAUGCAUGCAACAAGAGGCCUGUAGAAUAUUUUCCUUAAACAUUUUUGCCUAACAAAAUAACCGCACCACUAUAUGAUUAACGUCUUGGGCAGUGAAGUGGCUCACAAUUCUGGCAAAAGAAAGGUACGGCGUUGAUCUACUUGAGCGCUCUCACGUGACAAAUUGCAAGCCAGCUUUUACACCCAUGCGUGUUCAUGAGAAGUUCUCCCAUUACUUUUUAAAAAAAAAAUUGAGGAAAGUUGUCCCAUGAUAUUGGAGAAGCUAAUAUUCUAACCACCGACUCAGGCGGAUCUCCCCUUCACCGUGAAGGUGGACAGCCUACAUAUUUGGGAACACUGGUAGGCUGCUACCAGGACCAAAGAUCCACUAGCGACUUCGUGGUUUUCUCCCAUCCUAAGCCAAGUCCUGCAACAAAGGCUUCUUUGGUGACUGGCUUCUACGAUAAUUAGGUGUUAGGUGUGAUAUACUUUGGGUCAUGGAUAAUCGUGCUUCUAUUAACUUUUUUUUUUGCCAGGGCUUCUAUCAACCAUUGAACGCAUGAAUACAUCAAUUUAGUUCCAUUCUCAGAAGCGGAGACAUUUAGUUCACAGCAGAAAUAAUUGAAAGACGUGAAAAAGUGCUUAUUAAAAUGUUACACACAUCAGGGGAUAAGAAAUAUAAUAACAGUAUAAUUCAACAUGUAAACCAAAAUCUUCAGAUUUAAACAAGUUCACAAUGCAACCAAGGGCACGUUCAGUUUGGUGGGGAUGGAAGAGAGCUGAGGGGUGUUAAAUCUUGGUUCACAGGAUAGGAAUUUUUUUUCUGUUGAGUCUUGCGUAAUGUUUAUUUUCCUUUGAAAAAGUUAGCAAUCCUGCAUAGGAAUAGGAAUCCCGUUCCUAUAAACCAAAGGGAAAUUUCCUAUAGAAAUCAUAUCCUACAGAAUUCCUAUGAAAUUCCUCCAAACCAGAGGUCUAAACCCUCUCCAACCCCCAUGGGGAGAGGAUUAACUGACAAAGGCCUAAACUAGCUUAUUACAUGAAAGGACCAUAAUAUCAUCCCAAAGAAGGGACAUUAAAUGAUCACCAACCUAGAGCACUAUAGGAUCAACAAUUGAAAACUGCAAUGGUGGAUAGGUUGGCAAUGCUGUAUGUGAAGCAACUUCCAAAUCAACAACCAAAAACAAGCAAAACCGAUAUAGCAAGCUAUUUCACAUGGAACAUGGCAUCUAAGAAACAUGCACAAGUCUUCAGUAUGUUUAAAUUUCAAACACUAAACAACGUCUUUAAGUUCUACAACCAUGGAGUAGCAAACUAAGCAGAUCACAAGGCUCUUCUAGCUGCAGGUGAUAUCUCUUAAGUUCUCAUCUAGCAUUGACCAUCCACAGGCUUACCCUGCAUAUGGAUGGUAGCGACCAGUAGCACCACCACCACUGCUGCUACCAUAGCCUCCCCUAGCACCAUAGAGUCCAGCCACGCCAGACCUAACACUAGGAUCGGCACUGGCACCUGAAGAGUCAUAACUAGGCCCAUAGCUAGACGUGCCAUAAGGCACAGCAUCACGCCCAUAUGCACCACCUAAACCACCACCAUAAGGCACAGCAUCACGCCCAUAUGCACCACCUAAACCACCACCAUAACUGCCACCAAAACGACUGGAGUAGAGCGACGAUUCUCCAUGAUGACCUCCAAAUGCUCCAUCAUAACCACCAUAGCCGCUACUAUAGUCACCAGGAUAAGCACUACUGUAGCUGCCAGGAACAUAAGCACUACUGUAGCUGCCAGGAACAUAAGCACUACUGUAGCUGCCAGGAACAUAAGCACUACUGUAGCUGCCAGGCCUAGCGCCAAAACCAGGUGAUUUAUAGGGGGCAAAGCGACCACCAUUGUUGUAACGGCUGGCAAAUCCAUCAUAACCAUCUGCAUAAGGAGAUCUCCUAG
rnacentral:lncRNA from 1 species